rnacentral:lncRNA from 1 species
UUUGUUCAUGUAAUGCAAGUCAGUUUUUAUAUGAACUAAUGCAUGUAUUUUUAUAGUGAUUGUAGUUGAAAUUAAUAGGAUGUUCCACAAUGCUCCUAUGGUCCAAGAAAGUAGAAAAAAUGACAGGAUGAAUGAUAUUUGGAACCGACUAGUCAAAAAUCGCAAGUACUUUCAUGUUCUCCCAAUUUCCAGCGUUUUUUUCAUUUUCUAAUAGGUUGUGUUGUGCUUAGUAAUGUGUAUCGUAUAAGGCAUUUGAUUUACGAAUCAUUUAGAAUUUUGAUACUUAUAAAGUGUCUCAAGUUUGGAUAGUUGGCAGUGUCUCAAGUUUGUACAUAUGAAAGUCAAACAUGGUAUCACUUUGCUGCUCAUCUAUCUCUGUACUACUACCACCAUGAGUAUGGGCCUUAUUUCCUAGGAUAUAUGACAUCAAUUUCACGGGAAUUUGAAUAUUAAUAGAACCAGUCAGAAAUUGUUGCAUACCACUCCUGUGAUUCCAUAGUGAAGUGGGUUAGCUGAAUUCCCUCAGUAAGUUGUUCGUCGAUCUCCAAGGGAGCUCCUCAGUUCCACCUCCGACCUCUUGUAUCAGGCGCCAGGUGAAAAUAGACAAACCUGAUAUAGAAGGUAGGCAAUUAUAUUAUGAACAGGACAUAAGAGAUUUUCUUAUGUAAAGAAAUUGACAUGUCUGUUUUAUCUUCUGAAAUUAUUACAACGUGAGGCUGAACUUUACCUGAAAAAUAAUACAACAUUGCAAAUCUUGUUGUUCUACCGCGUCUAGACUGAAUUUGUUCAUUAGAAUGUUCAGUUUCUCCGUAUAAUCUGGACCCUCAAUCAGACACUCACACACCAUUAUUCCUAGGUUUAUUAGCUGCCACUUAAACUCUGAAUCUCUUUUCUCAGAAAACCUAUAGUAGGCCAAUAGAACCAUGGUGUUAUCAUAAACUUGCACUUUCUGGAGUUAUACCAGAUAUUAGAUGGGCGAAAUAGUGCAUCCACAUGUACAAGCAAAUCAGGGGCUCUAAUAAAGAGUAAAACUACAAGAGCUUGGGAAAACCAACUAAGAUGCAGAGACAUCAGCAAGCCUACUAACAUGCAGUCACUCUCACCAACUAGAGUUUACAACCUAGCUCAGAGUGAGGGGCAUAUAGCUAGAUCCGCGGCUAUCUCAUACGCAACACACAUCCAGCCAGUCAGUCAAUCUCACAAACUAUUAGAAUCUAGUUGCAAAAGAAGAGGCGGACAUCAGGAUCCGCAUCCUCUAAUGCCCCAUUUUGCCUUGCGCCUACCAACAUCCAGAAAUCAAUUAAUCCCCUACUAAACCAAAGCUAGAUCAGAGCUGGCAGGAGACUGACGAACAAAAAUAUAUUCAAACCAUGCACCAAAUCAGAGAGAGAGAGAGAGAGAGGUUAGGAAGGGUGUCCAAGAGAGCACGCGCAUCCGAGGAGACAUGCACCGCCAUUUACUUCUGGCGCGGGGAGUCGGCCUACGAUGUACAUAGGAACAGUCUUCAGCACGGAGAUCGACCGCAACGAGGGCUUAGGAAUGACAACAACGGGGAGGAGAGGGAGCGGAGGGGAGGGGCUCACCAUUGCGCGGGCCGGGGAGGGGCAGAGACGACGGCUGUUGAGUUAUCGGCGGCGGGGCUUCCAGCGGCCGUGGGGGGAGGGAGGAGUUAAUUAGGGUUUGGUUGCGGCUCGUCUCGUUGUACACCACAUCCGACCCCAGCAACAGCUCCGGUGCCAGAUCCAGUAGCAUCUCUGGAUCGACCUCGUCGUACUGAUGCUCGUAGUAAUGGAGGAGGAUAUGAGAUGAGAGGGAGGGGGUGGAUGCGGUGGUCAUGGGGGAGGCCGUGGGCGAGAGGAGGAGGACGGUGGCGGUGGUCUGGAAGGGAGGAGGAUGAUACCGGGAGGUGUUUGUGGGGCGGGAGAGCGAGGGGUUGGGGUCGGGAGGAAUCGAGAGGUGGAUCUCCAGCUAGACAGGAGAGGGAGGUGGCGCCGCUAGCCGCCACCGGUGCUAGGGUUGCUCGCCGGCUGUGGUUGGGGUCGCCGGUGGCUGCUCCGUGGGGGGAACCGAAUGUGGAUCGGAUCUGGAGAGACGACGAUGAGGGAGAGACGAGACGAGGGGAGGGGUGGAUCGGUGUGGGUGGGACGAGGGUAGGGUUUGCGUUGUUUCUUUCUUUUGCAUGCAGUGUUUGGAUCCGUUUGAUUCGUUGGCUUUGACGGUUUAGAUCAGAUGAAGUGGGUUUGAUUGCCUUGCCACGUCAUCGAUCUGGGAGAAGGAGGUUUUAGCCAAUAGGGAAUGAGCAAACAAAUUUGUGUUUGUUUACCCUAUUACUUUUGAUAAAAUAAACAUGUUAAUAUUUAGGAAUUUUUCUCAAAUAUUUUUCCAUGCCUUCUAGAAAUGAUGAACCUAUACCAUGUGAAAUUUCCUAUUCUUUAGAACUUAUUUACAUGUUCAAAAAAAUUAAAUAUUCAUUAUUUCCAUUUCACGAGGGCACAAAUUGAGUUUUUUUGUGAAGGACCUACCAUGUAUUUAUUGGAAAAUUGGAUCAAAUCAUUUUUCUAAAAUACCAGGCCGUAUUUAAUGUACAAUUUACCAAAUGGUUGGAUGUCAAAAGUUUUUAUCCAUCUCUCGUCAAAAAGACAAAUUUUCGUCGAAUCAGCUAGAAGCGGGUCAAAUUUGAACUGCAGUUGCCUCAUAGAUUGCUCUUUAUUUUUCCCAAAAAUGGUUUUUAGGUACACAAGUAUCUAUUUAAUCAGAGAAACAUCAAAAGUUUACCAAGAUUCAACCACUAUGUAGGAACGGUCAUACCCGCCGUUUUGACCGCAUUUUAAAAUGCCCAUGAAAAAUUCAAAAAAAUCAAAAAAUUAGAAAACCUUUGCAUUGUGUCAUUAUAUGUGACAAAGUUACCAGGUAAAAUAACAACCUUGUAAUACGGCAAUUAUUUUUAAAAAGUGUUCUCAUAAAUGGGCUAUCAUGUGUGAAGAUUCAUGGCUUUCGAGCCAACUCAUCAAUCUCAUGGCCACAUUCAUGCCAUAGUUUGUUCAAAUGAUCUCAUAUUUUGUAGAAGAGUGCAUGUUGGAAUGAUAAACAAUGUUUCCAAAGGGAGUUUUCAUUUUCUUUACAUGAAAAAAACAUUUUCCAAUUUCCGAGUGCCUAAAUUGAGUUCUUUGUGAAGGACUGAUACGUCUCCAACGUAUCUAUAAUUUUUUAUGGUUUCAUACUAUUAUCUUGUCAAACUUUGGAUGUUAUGCAUGCCUUUUAUAUAUUUUUUGGGACUAACUUAUUAACUCAGUGCCAAGUGCCAGUUCCUGUUUUUCCAUGUUAUUGACCCUUUUCAGAGGAGAUUUUGAAACAGAGUCCAAACAGAAGAAAAUCCCCAAAAAGAUUUUUUCCGGAACGGAAGAAGAUCGGGAAGCUUGGGAGCCAAGGCAGGGGAUCCUCAGGGGCCCCACAAGCCUCCACACCACGGCCAGGGGGGUAGGCCGCGGCCCACGGGAUUGUGGGCCCCCUGGGCGCCCUCGGCCCUAGGGGUUGCGCCUAUAAAUUCCCUAAAAAUCCCAAAAAAAUCAGGAGAUCAUCGAAAGUUCUUUUCCGCCGCUGCAAGCUUCUCUCUCCACAAGAUCCCAUCUGGGGUACGUUCUGGUGCCCUGCCGGAGGGGAGAUUCUGAUACGGAGGGCUUCUUCAUCAACACCAUGACCUCUCCGAUGAUGCGUGAGUAGUUCACCAUAGACCUACGGGUCCAUAUCUAGUAACAAGAUGGCUUCUUCUCUCUCUUGGAUCUUCAAUACAAAGUUCUCCAUGAUCUUCAUGGAGAUCUAUCCGAUGUAAUCUUGUUUUGCGGUGUGUUUGUCGAGAUCCGAUGAAUUGUGGAUUUAUGAUCAGAUUAUCUAUGAAUCUUAUUUGAGUUUCUUCUGAUCUCUCUUAUGCAUGAUUUCAUAUCCUUGUAAUUCUCUUCAAGUUGUGGGUUUUGUCUGGCCAACUAGAUCUAUGAUUCUUGCAAUGGGAGAAGUGCUUGGUUUUGGGUUCAUACCAUGCGGUGACCGCACCUAGUGACAGAAGGGGUAGCGAGGCACGUAUCGUGUUGUUUCCAUCAAGGGUAAAAAGAUGUGGUUUUCAUCAUUGGUUUGAGAUUAUCCCUCUACAUCAUGUCAUCUUGCUUAAGGCGUUACUCUGUUUUCGUCAUGAACUCAAUACACUAGAUGCAUGCUGGAUAGCGGUCGAUGAGUGGAGUAAUAGUAGUAGAUGCAGAAAGUAUCGGUCUACUUGUCUCGGACGUGAUGCCUAUAUGUAUGAUCAUUGCCUUAGAUAUCGUCAUGACUUUGCGCGGUUCUAUCAAUUGCUCGACAGUAAUUUGUUCACCCACCGUCAUAUUUGCUAUUUUGAGAGAAGCCUCUAGUGAACACUAUGGCCCCCAGGGUCUACUCCACACCAUAUUUUCAGCCUUACACUUUUUACUUCCUUGCACUUUCCUCCUUCAGAUCUCACUUUGCAAACAAUCUUGAAGGGAUUGACAACCCCUUUGAAGCGUUGGGUGCAAGCUUGUUUGUGUUUGCGCAGGUACUCUGGACUUGACGAGACCCUCCUUCUGGAUCGAUACCUUGGUUCUCAAACUGAGGGAAAUACUUACUCCUCCUGUGCUGCAUCACCCUUUCCUCUUCAAGGGAAUAACCAACGCAAGCCCAGUCUCCGUCAACGUGUCAAUUUCUGGCGCUGUUGUUUGGGAAGUAGCAGAAGGAUUUCUGGCGCCGUUGCCGGGGAAGGACUUCUGUUGCCAUAGCAAAAGAAUUUCUAGCGCCGUUGCGGGGGAGGAAGAUCAAGUCAAGAAUUCAUCCAAGUAGGUCNNNNNNNNNNNNNNNNNNNNNNNNNNNNNNNNNNNNNNNNNNNNNNNNNNNNNNNNNNNNNNNNNNNNNNNNNNNNNNNNNNNNNNNNNNNNNNNNNNNNACACAUAAUAUUACACAGUAGUGGGUCUCACGACCCAUCAUAGCAGUCAUUCAAGUUACAAGCCAGCGGAAGUAAAUAAACUGUCUGAGUACAGACAAAUGAAACUAGAAGGCACAUGGCCUGACUAUACUACAGACCCACCCUAGGGCCAGAUCAUAGCUGGGAUACCAGCUACUCGUCGUCGUCGAUGUCUAGGAAGAGCCCUCCAUUAGGGUCAUUAACAACCUCUGCAACAAAUAUUAAGCAAACAUGAGUACAAGAGUACUCAGCCAGACUUUAGGAUAACUAUCUACUCAUGCGAUGUAUCAAUCAGGAAUUGUGGGGUUUCAUGCGGAAAGCCACCAUUUGACUCGUGGCUAGACAACUUGCAUUUUUAAAUAAUUUUUGACAACAUUGAUUUCUCGCACGAGUCCACUAACACCACAACAAUACUCCAUCGUGGACUCAUUCUGUCUCCAUACGGGAAUGCCGUCCACGACACUCACGCUUAUCUUGACAAUUUUAUGAGUAGCCAUUGAAGUUAUCUAUGAGCAACAUAUGUCUCCAAGUAGUCCAUAUCCGCGGACGCGGCUAUUCGAAUAGAUCAUAACCCUGCAGGGGUGUACUUCUUCACACACGCUCUCGCCACUUAUCUCCAUGUGCACAUCAUGCACCUGAGCAACCUUCAAGGGGAAGCCCAGCGAGGGAGUCGGCCACGACCGUUAACCACACUAAUACUUAGUCCAGGUCUAUCGCCUAUCUGAGGGUAACCCGCACGGAAGUCCGGCCAAGGUUUCCGCCACGGCCCCAAACGAUGUGCGCAGGGUUCCAAAGCCCACCAUCCGGGUGCCACUUGGUACACCGUGCCACUGCCUACCGCAUCACAACGCACCUCUCAGGUCAGCGCUAUGCACGGCCUCCAGCAUGACUAUAAACACCAGAAACUACUUGCAACUCCUGGACCGAGUACUAAGCGAUUAACAAGUCGAGAGGGUCAAUUAAGUAUCCCAACGUGUGGUAGUAUCUAGUCUUUGAUUACAUACACGGAACUCAGUUCCUCAGGACGGUUCCAAUGAAACAACCCGCCAUGUACUCCUACAUAGCCGUUCACCGAUACCUUUACCAAAUCAGGUUCAACACACAACCUUUACUUACAGAACACAUUCUGACAAUUCUGUUCAUCUCCCAGAUGACAGACCAUACACAACUCUAAGCAUAGCAUGCAUAGCUGGAUAAGGCACAUCAUGGCUCAAGCAUCUACCAGGUAUGCUAGGUUCAACUAUUUACUGUGAGAAGGACUUGUCAUGCAAAGGAAGUGGGUUCAACUAACGUGGCAAAAGCAUUUGAAGCAUUUGAUCCUAAUGCAAUAAGUAAGUGUAGGAGCGAGAACAUGGGAUUUAUCGGGAUGAUCAAAAUGGUUGCUUGCCUUGUUGCUCAGAGGAGGGGCAAUAUCCGUCAGUCGGAUAUUUGGUGGGAUCCGGAGGAGCGGAGCCUACCGAUAGAAAUGACAUCAAUCAAUAACAAUCACAUGCAACAAAAUGAUGCAAGAACAUGGCAUGAAUAUGCAUGGUGGUACGCUAAUGUAGCUAUCAUUUAUUAUGUUUGAGGUUGAUUUGAAUCAGAUUCAAUUAUCACUUCAAACGAGGUAUUCUCGAAUAUCAUUUUAAUUGAUUCGACCUGAUGCUCAGAUCAACUUUUUUUUUAACAUGCAUGGAAAUGAUAUGUUAAUUUGCUGGUUGUGAUUGAACAAUGUUUGAUCAUAGCAUUUGAAAUGGAAUUCAAAUGAUUUUCAAAUUCCAACUCCAAAGCAUUUAUUAAUUUAACCUAUUCAUUAUUCUACAUGUUUGGUCCAGUAACAUUUUCAAACAUGUAUGAAAAUGACAUAUUCAGAUUCCUUGGAUUUUUCUAAUACUUUUUCAUAUAUAAAUUAUUUUCGUUGGAGUUAGAGAUUAAUUUCUACGAUUUUUAGAAGUUUUGGGCAUUUUCUGGAAUUCUUUUUAAACAGAAAAGCUACUUAUUGCGUGAGCAUGGCAUCAGCACGUCCAACUGGCCGUUGAAAGUCAAACCUGAUCAGUGGGACCCACUGGUCAGUGACUCUGGUCAGUUUUGGAUUAGAUUUAAACUUAAUUAGCUAAUUAACCGCACUAGACCCACAUGUCAGUGACUUAUUAGUUUAAUUAAUUUUAUUUUUUAUUAACUAAAUCAUCCAGAGGCUGGCCCCACGCGUUAUUGGCUCAGCCAGCUGAGAUCCACCGGCGGCGAGGUCGUCCUCGCCGGCGGUGAGCCUCCGGCGACCACCAGAACGGCGGAGGGGCUCGGAAAUGGCGCACAGGCGGCCAAACUCUGCGCGGAGUGCACCAGAGGAACGACACGUCUCCCGCAGNNNNNNNNNNNNNNNNNNNNNNNNNNNNNNNNNNNNNNNNNNNNNNNNNNNNNNNNNNNNNNNNNNNNNNNNNNNNNNNNNNNNNNNNNNNNNNNNNNNNNNNNNNNNNNNNNNNNNNNNNNNNNNNNNNNNNNNNNNNNNNNNNNNNNNNNNNNNNNNNNNNNNNNNNNNNNNNNNNNNNCGAGCUUGGCGGCGGCCGAAGCUCGCGCAUCGUCGGGCUAGUCGAAUCUGAAGGAGAUAGGCACGGGUUUGAGCACCUACGGCAUCUACUCGACGACCUGAAGCUACUGAUGGCCUCAGAAGGACGAGCCGUUCACCGGAGAGCUACCAUCGACGAGCUCCCGCGGCGGAUCACAUCGGGCUCUGGUGAAAUCAGGGCUAGAGGAAGAGAUCGAAGGGGGAAACUUGGGGAAAAGCUUGGUAGGAUCAUGGGGAGUGCAAAGGUGGCGCUAGCUUGCUCGGGGACGCCCUGGAGAGGGAGAACGCCGGCGAUAAACUUCGGUGACCCGAGGAAGAAGACGACUGCGUCUCGUCGAUUCACUGCGUCUCGGUGUCGGGCUGGUGGCUAGAAAGCUUCAAGGAGCUGCGGCGGAUCUAUUGCGUGGCUCAGGAGGGNNNNNNNNNNNNNNNNNNNNNNNNNNNNNNNNNNNNNNNNNNNNNNNNNNNNNNNNNNNNNNNNNNNNNNNNNNNNNNNNNNNNNNNNNNNNNNNNNNNNNNNNNNNNNNNNNNNNNNNNNNNNNNNNNCGAAAGAGAUAGGCUAGAACGACGGCGAGCUCGAGCUCUGCUCGGGCUCCAAUGGCGGCAGUGGGGAACAAAGCAGAGGGGGAAGAAUGAGGAGAGGAUGAGCUCGGGCACGUCUCGGGAGGGUUAUCCCCUCGUGUGCCAACGCGAAGCGGCGGCCAGGCAGGCAGGGAGCUGCGUGGAGGCGCCGGACGUCGCGGCGGCCACCUCGUGCUGCGUACUAGCAAGGAGGAAGACGAUAGGGGAGCUGGGCCUGGGCUGAGGUGAGCGAGAGGUAAGUCUUUGCAUUUUUUUUCUUGUUUUGUUUUCUGAUUUGCUAACUAUUUUGAUUUGCUAUUUAUUUCAGCUCCAAAANNNNNNNNNNNNNNNNNNNNNNNNNNNNNNNNNNNNNNNNNNNNNNNNNNNNNNNNNNNNNNNNNNNNNNNNNNNNNNNNNNNNNNNNNNNNNNNNNNNNNNNNNNNNNNNNNNUUAUUUCAGCUCCAAAAUAGUUUAUAAAAUUAUUUUGAACACACCAGAAUAUUAGUUGGAAUAUAUCCAACCAAUCCUAAAGUGUUCAACAUUUUUGAAAACUUAAAGUUUUCGAAUUCAAAUUUAAACUUGAAUUCAGUGGCUUUUUGUAUUUAAAUAAAAUGCCAAAUGUGUUAUGAAAAUAGUUUUCUUCACUGAUUAUAUGCUUUCAGGAUUUAUCAGAAAAGUUGAACUUUUCUUGAGGCCAUUUUNNNNNNNNNNNNNNNNNNNNNNNNNNNNNNNNNNNNNNNNNNNNNNNNNNNNNNNNNNNNNNNNNNNNNNNNNNNNNNNNNNNNNNNNNNNNNNNNNNNNNNNNNNNNNNNNNNNNNNNNNNNNNNNNNNNNNNNNNNNNNNNNUUGGGUUCAUUGAUUUUAACAAGUUUGGAAUUUCCUUUAAAUUGAGAAGUGGCUAGGGUGUUUGAGUUUUGCUUCACCACUUGCUUUGAUCUUCUUGCAAUUUUCUUGGAUGCAAUUCAAAGAAGAUAUGAGCACAAUGUUAUACUUUGGUUAGGGUUCCAGCGAUGUGACAUAAUCCUNNNNNNNNNNNNNNNNNNNNNNNNNNNNNNNNNNNNNNNNNNNNNNNNNNNNNNNNNNNNNNNNNNNNNNNNNNNNNNNNNNNNNNNNNNNNNNNNNNNNNNNNNNNNNNNNNNNNNNNNNNNNNNNNNNNNNNNNNNNNNNNNNNNNNNNNNNNNNNNNNNNNNNNNNNNNNNNNNNNNNNNNNNNNNNNNNNNNNNNNNNNNNNNNNNNNNNNNNNNNNNNNNNNNNNNNNNNNNNNNNNNNNNNNNNNNNNNNNNNNNNNNNNNNNNNNNNNNNNNNNNNNNNNNNNNNNNNNNNNNNNNNNNNNNNNNNNNNNNNNNNNNNNNNNNNNNNNNNNNNNNNNNNNNNNNNNNNNNNNNNNNNNNNNNNNNNNNNNNNNNNNNNNNNNNNNNNNNNNNNNNNNNNNNNNNNNNNNNNNNNNNNNNNNNNNNNNNNAGCAUGAGUAGGACACAGAUCACCAUGAACAUGAACAUCAUAGAGGCUAUGUUGAUUUUGUUUCAACUACAUGCGUAAACAUGCGCCAAGUCAAGCCACUUGAAUCAUUCAAAGGAAGAUACCAUCCUAUCAUACUACAUCAUAGUCAUCUCAACAUUCAUGUUGGCAUCCAAGUCAAACCAUUAUAAGCUCCUAGCUAAUUAAGCAUGGCAUUAGAAACUAUGAUCUCUAAGUUGUCAUUGCAAACAUGUUUCUCUCAUAACAAUGCUGAAUUAGGAACGAUGAGCUAGUCAUAUUUACAAAACAAAAGAGAUCGAGUUCAUACCAGCUUUUCCAGGCUCACUCACUUCAUCAUAUAUCAUCAUUAUUGCCUUUCACUUGCACGACCGAAUGAUGUGAAUAGUAAUGAGAGUGUUCGUCCAUGGGACUAAGCUGGAAUCUACAAGAAAACACAGAGGAGAAGACAAAUUAAUAUGGCUCUUUGACGGAUAAACAGAUAUGCAUGCGAGAGCCACUAAACAAUUUAACCAUGGUCUUCUACCUUGACCCAAAGAAAAACAAAACUAUUUACACGGGAAAGCUCCCAACAAGCAAAAGAAGAACGAGAAAUCUUUUUUGGGUUUUCUUUUUGAACACCACUAAGCAAGCUGGAAAGUAAACUUACAACUAAUUUUUUUUGUUUUUCUCAAACUAGACAAGCACACGAGAAGAAAGCGAGAAAAAGAAAUAAACUAGCAUGGAUGAUACAGUGGCAAGGUGUGAACACCGACUAUCAAAGUGAAAGUGUGAGCAUGAAUAUAAAGUCGGUGAGAAACACGUACUACCCCAAGCUUAGGCUUUUGGCCUAAGUUGGUCUACUCCAAUGGAGGGAAAUAACCGUCUCUGGGGUACUCCAGAGUGUACUGAGAGUGCCACUGCUGGGUGAGCUCCUCUGGCUCCCACUGAUAAACUAGUGUCUAGUACUCGACUGGUAGCUCGGGCACGGGCGCCUGUGGUGGCGCUAUGCCCCAAUAUGCGUAGAUGUGCGAGGGCAUAAUAAUGUACCUGACUAGAUGAAGAUUGAACAAAGAAGGAGCAGGAAAAGUAAUAGUCUCACGAGUACCCUGACUAAAUCAUCCUCUUAUGUAUAUCUUUAUCAUCAAAGUCAUGGCGAACCAUGCUAUCAUAAUCUAGAUAUCUCUUAGGAAGAAGCAUGUCUUCUUCCUCGUACAGCCUAAUAGGUAUCUCAAAAUGUUUAGCAAGACGAGUAGCAUAGAUACCUCCAUAAGCAGCGCCUUUAGUACGGUUCGUGUUCAACCGUUGAGCUACUAUAGCGCCCAAGCUAUAAGUUUUAUCAUUAUAAAGGGCUUCGUGCCAAACCGCAAGAUCUGGCCCCAGCUUUCCCAUGGCCAAUCCAACAUUUUCCCACGAAUAAUGACAAAUACCGAAGCACGGGAAAAUGUAUGCUAGCGACUCCAGCGCAAGACACUCCACUCUGCUCUCCUACAUCAAUAGUAUCAAUGAAAGCCUCCAAGUCCUGUGGACGAGGUUCAUGAAUAUCCCCAACAUAAGGUAAUUUGCAAACAUUGCAAAAAUCCUGAAGUGACAUGCGAUGGGGGAUAUCAUAUAACUUGAACUCAACCAUAGGAGGACUCUUCCUUGGAUAGAAAUUAAAGCUUUGCACGAUAAUAUUAGUGAGGAGGAGGUAUUGUGGACACUUAUCUUCAACAAAUGCGGUAAGGCCUGCGUUCUCCACCAAUAAUAAAAAUCCUCAUAAAGACCGGCGGCACGUAAGAACACAUCGCUUGGACACUCGCAGGCUCAAACUUGUGCAACUCGGGGGACCGGAUACUUGGGUUUCUUCUUCUCAUUUUCAUCUUCCUUGGGGUCACGGCUUGAAGAGCCUCUUCGGAACCUCCUCAUCUUUUCCUUUUUCUUUCUCUGAAAAUUUCAGAAAUUUUUAGUGCUUCAAAGGAAAAGUGAACAAGGCUCAACGAAACUCAUAGCAACUACUCCUACAAGUGCCUAGAGGCCAUAUCAUGCAUCAAAACUACUUGGGACCAACUAAAAUUAACAUGCAAAGCUCAAGAACAGGGUCACCAAGGCAGCAAUAAUAUGCAGCGAAUAAAGCACUAGAGCAAAAACUAAUUGGGCCAAUGGAGGAGUCACAUACCAGGGAACAAUUCCCCCAAAACAGUUUGGUGAAUGGGGCUUUGCACAAGGAGAUCGAAAAACGCAGCAAGAAGUUCAAGAACACGGGUUUGAGCUGUGGAAUGAAUUUUUCUGGAGGUAGGAGAAGGAGAUGGGAGCUGGAAUAAGUGGAGGGGGGCACGUGGGGCCCACAAGCCUGGUAGGCGUGGCCAGGGGGGGUGCCUAUGCCUCCUGGGCUUGUGGCCCACUGGUGCAUCCCCCUGACUAGCUCUCUAUCUAAGAAUUUUUCAAAAAUUCCAGAAAAAAUCAUACUUGAUUUUCAGGGUAUUUGAAGAACUUUUAUUUUCGGGAAACUUUUCUAAGGGACGCAAAAAGCAGAAAACAGGAAAACUAAAGUUAAUUUAUCAUUUUUCUUCUAAACAACAGAAAAUAAAAUCUCAGAACAAAAGGUUGUGACUCCUAGAUUCAUCCAUCUCAUGGUCAUCAAAAGAAAUAUGUCACUCAGGUUGAUCAAGUCUCGUUGAAAAACUUUUUUCGAAUCACAUGAAACCGGAGAAUUUUCGAAUAAUCACUAAGUUACCGCAAUGGGGAUGUGCAUAUCAACAACAAGCAAAUCAUACUUCAUCUUGACAGUAGGUAUAGGGUAUUCAAAGCUCCCAAUAAGGAUUGAUGAAGUUUUUCCAAUAGCAUUGAUGCAAUGUAGUCGAUAUUGUUUCUUCGGAAAUUGCACUGUAUGCUCAUUACCAUUGACAUGCAAAGUCACAUUGCCUUUGUUGCAAUCAAUAACAGCCCCUGCAGUGUUUAAAAAGGGUCUUCCAAGGAUGACUGCCAUGGCAUCAUCCUCGGGAAUAUCCAGAAUAACAAAGUCCGCUAAGAUAGUAACAUUAGCAACCACAACAGGCACAUCCUCGCAAAUGCCGAUAAGAAAAGCAGUUGAUUUGUCGGCCAUUUGCAAAGACAUUUCAGUGGGUGUCAACUUAUCCAAUUCAAGUCCACGAUAAAGGGAGAGAGGCAUAACACUAACACCGGCUCCAAGAUCGCAUAAAGCAGUUCUAAUGUAGUUUCCUUUAAUGGAGCAAGGUAUAGUGGGCACUCAUGGAUCACCUAGUUUCUUAGGAGUUCCACCCUUGAAGGUGUUGUUAGUGAGCAUGGUGGAAAUCUAAACCUCAGGUAUCCUCCUUUUAUUAGUCACAAUAUAUUUCAUAUACUUAGUAUAAGGAGGCAUUUUGAGCAUAUCUGUCAAACGCAUUUGCAGAAAGACAGGUCUAAUCAUUUCAACAAAGCGCUCAAAAUUCUCAUAAUCCUUUUUCUUGGAUGGUUUGGGAGGAAAGGGCAUGGGUUUCUGAACCCAGGGUUCCCUUUCUUUACCAUGCUUCCUAGCAAUGAAGUCGUUCUUAUCGUAUCUCCUAUUCUUAGGUUGUGGGUUAUCAAGAUCAACUGGUUCAAUCUCCACAUCCUUAUCAUUGCUAGGUUGAGCAUCAUCAUGAACACCACUGUCGAUAUUAUCACUAGGCUCAUGUUCAUCACCAGAUUGUGUUUCGGCAUCAGAAAUAGAGACAUCAUUUGGAUUCUCGGGUGUAACAGCAACAGGGUUGCAAGCAUGCAAGUUCAUAUCAUCUUUCUUUUUCGUCCUAGGAUGACUAGGUGCCUCGGUGCUAACUCCUUGAGAAUCUUGUUCAAUUUUCUUAGGAUGACCCUCAGGAUACAAAGGUUCCUGGAUCAUUCUACCACCUCUAGUGAUAACUCUAACAGACUUGUCAUUCAACUCAUUGAGCAUGUAAUUUUGAGCCUUACGUAUUUGUUCUACUUGAGUAGUAACCAUAGAGGCAUGUUUACUCAAAAGCUUAAGAUCAUUGACAUUUCUAUCCACACAAGCACUUAUAUGAUCAAUCAUACGAGCAUUUAGCCUCAAUUGUCUCCUAACAUAAUCAUUGAAACUUUGUUGUUUGGCAAAAAAGUUAUCAAAUUCAUCUAAGCAUAAGAUAGCAGGUUUAUCAAAAGGAAUAUCACUCUCNNNNNNNNNNNNNNNNNNNNNNNNNNNNNNNNNNNNNNNNNNNNNNNNNNNNNNNNNNNNNNNNNNNNNNNNNNNNNNNNNNNNNNNNNNNNNNNNNNNNNNNNNNNNNNNNNNNNNNNNNNNNNNNNNNAGGAAUAUCACUCUCAUUGAAUCUACGAAGAGAAUUUACCUCUACUACCUGUGUCGGGUUAUCAAGACCAUGUAUUUCUUCAAUAGGUGGUAGAUUCUUAACAUCUUCAGAUUUAAUACCUUCCUCUUGCAUAGAUUUCUUGGCUUCUUGCAUAUCUUCAGGACUGAGGAAUAGAAUACCUCUUUUCUUUGGAGUUGGCUUCGGAGGUGGUUCAGGAAUAGUCCAAGCAUUAUCAUUGCUCAAGAUAUCAUUCAAUAGAAUCUCAGCUUGUUCCACAAUUCGUUCCCUGAAAACACAACCAGCACAACUAUCCAGGUGGUCCCUAGAGGCAUCGGUUAGUCCAUUAUAAAAGAUAUCAAGUAUUUCAUUCUUCUCAAGAGGGUGAUCAGGCAAAGCAUUAAGUAGCUGGACAAGCCUCCCCCAAGCUUGUGGGAGACUCUCUUCUUCAACUUGCACAAAGUUAUAUAUAUCCUGCAAGGCAGCUUGUUUCUUAUGGGCAGGAAAAUAUUUCUCAGAGAAGUAGUAAAUCAUAGCCUGGGGGCUACGCACACAACCAGGUGCAAGAGAAGUGAACCAAGUCUUAGCAUCACCCUUUAGUGAGAAAGGAAACAAAUUAAGGAUAUAGUAGUGGCGGAUCUUUUCCUCACUCGUGAAUAGGGUGGCUAUAUCGUGCAGUUUGGUAAGAUGUGCUACAACCGUUUCAGACUGAUAACCAUGAAAAGGAUCAGAUUCGACCAAAGUGAUUAACUCAGGAUCGACAGAGAAUUCAUAAUCCUUAUCAGUAACAAAGAUAGGCGAAGUAGCAAACUUAGGAUCGUAUUUCAUCCUAGCGUUCAGAGAGUUUUCUUUCCACUUGCGCAAUAAAUUAUCAAGAUCAUAGCUAUCCUUACAAGCAAGAAAGUCCUCAGCUACCUCUCCCUCCAUAACAUAACCCUCACGUAUAUCAGGCAAUUCAUAUCUAGGAGAGCUAGUUCUAACAUGUGAAACAACAGGUUCUACUUCAAUAAUUUCAGCAGUUUCAGAAGUAUCAUUGCAUUCAGCAGCAACUCUAGCAAUUUGUGCAUCAAGGAAUGCACCCAGUAGAAAAGCAGUAUCAAGAAAAGCAUCAUCAUAAGCAUCAUGAUAGCAGAAGUAGCAUCAUCAAGCACAGGCGAUACAUCAAAAUUUCUAGUAGGUGGUGGUGUCGCAAACUUACUCAUAACUGAAGGUGAAUCAAGUGCAGAGCUAGAUGGCAGUUCCUUACNNNNNNNNNNNNNNNNNNNNNNNNNNNNNNNNNNNNNNNNNNNNNNNNNNNNNNNNNNNNNNNNNNNNNNNNNNNNNNNNNNNNNNNNNNNNNNNNNNNNNNNNNNNNNNNNNNNNNNNNNNNAGAUGGCAGUUCCUUACAUGUCCUCGUAGUUGAGGGCUAGACUUUAGUUUUUGGAUCUCUCGGAUUCCUCAUAGUGAUCAAGAGACAUAAAUCCCAAGUGACUUGGAGAAUAGAGCUAGGCCUUCCCGGCAACGGCGCGAGAAAAUAGUCUUGAUAACUGAUACGUCUCCGUCGUAUCUACUUUUCCGAACUCUUUUGCCCUUGUUUUGGACUCUAAUUUGCAUGAUUUGAAUGGAACUAACCCGGACUAACGCUGUUUUCAGCAGAAUUGCCAUGGUGUUGUUUUUGCGCAGAAAUAAAAGUUCUCGGAAUGACCUGAAAAUUUACGGAGAAUUUUUCUGGAAUUAAUAAAAAAUACUGGCGCAAGAAUCAGCGGAAGAAGUGGAGUCGUUAGCCCACAAGCCCACCAGGCGCGGCCCCCCUGGUCGCGCCUAUCAGGCUUGUGGGGCCCACGUUGCUCCACUGCCUCCAAUCUCAACUCUAUUUAGUCCGUCUCGCCCAGAAAAAAAAUCAAGGAGAAGAGUUCAUCACGUUUUACGAUACGGAGGCGCCGCCACCACUUGUUCUUCAUCUGGAGGGCAGAUGUGGAGUCCGUUCUCGGCUCCGGAGAUGGGAGCUCGUCGCCAUCUUCAUCAUCAACCUUUCUUCAUCGCCAAUUCCAUGAUGCUCUUCACCGUUCAUGAGUAAUCUCAUCGUAGGCUUGCUGGACGGUGAUGGGUUGGAUAAACAGAUAUGACGGGGAUUGAUCCCUAGUAUCCACUAUGUUUUGAGAUUGAUGUUGCUACUACUUUGCCAUGCUUAAUGCUUGUCACUAGAACCCGAGUGCCAUGAUUUUAGAUCUGAAAUUAUUAUGUUGUCGCCAAUAGAUGUAUGUUUUAGAUCCUAUCUUGCAAGUUGUAGUCACCUACUAUGUGUUUUGACCCGGCAACCCCGGAGUGACAAUAGCUGGAACCACUCCCGGAGAUGACCAUAGUAUGAGGAGUUCAUGUAUUCACCAAGUGUUAAUGCAUUGGUCCGGUUCUUUAUUAAAAGGAGAACCUUAAUAUCCCGUAGUUUCCAUUAGGACCCCGCUGCUACGGGAGGGAUGGAUAAUAGAUGUCAUGCAAGUUCUUUUCCCUAAGCACGUAUGACUACAUACGGAAUACAUGCCUACAUUAGAUUGACGAACUGGAACUAGUUACAUAUCUCUCCCUGUUAUAACUGUUACAUGAUGAAUCACAUCCGGCUUAAUCAUCCGUCACCCAUCCAAUGCCUACGAGUCUUUUCCUACAUGUCCUUUCUACGUUACUCUGCCGCAACUGCUGUUACUUUGCUGCUACUGGUUACUGUUGCUACUGCUUCUAUCACCCUACUUUGCUACUGAUACUUUGCUGCAGAUACUAAAUCUUUCAGGUGUGGUUGAAUUGACAACUCAAAUGUUAAUACUUGAGAAUAUUCUUUCGCUUCCCCUUGAGUCGAAUCAAUAAAUUUGGGCUAAAUCUCUACCCUCAAAAACUGUUGCGAUCCCCUAUACUUGUGGGUUACAAGACCUUUUUCUGGCCCCGUUGCCGGGGAAGCCAAGUCAAGAAUAUUCUCCCGUCAACACCUUUUUCUGGCGCCGUUGCCGGGUUAGCACAACUAUAUUCUCUGAGUCACUUUGGAUUUACGUCUGCUGGCCACUAUGAGGAAUCCGAUUGAUCCAAGAACUAAAGUCUUGCCCUCAACUACGAGGACAGGUAAGGAACUGCCAUCUAGUUCUGCACUUGAUUCACCUUCAGUUAUGAGUAAGUUUGCGACACCACCUCCUGCUAGAAAUCUUGAUACGUCGCCUGUGCUUGAUGAUGCUACUUCUUCUGCCCAUGAUGCUUAUGAUGAUGCUAUGCUUGAUACUGAUUUUCCUGAUGAUGUUAUGCCUGAUACUACUUUGCCACUAGGUGCAAUCCUUGAUGCACAAAUUGCUAGAGUUGCUGCUAGAUGUGAUGAUACUUCUGAAACUCCUGAUACUAUUGAACUAGAACCUGCUAUUAUGCCUGAAUUGCCUGUUAUCCUGAGCGUUAUGUUAUGGAGGGAGAGAUAGCUGAGGAUUUUCUUGCGUAUAAGGAUAGCUAUGAUGUUGAGAAUUUACUGCGCAAGUGGAAAGAAAAAUCUCUGAACGCUAGGAUGAAAUAUGACCUGAAGUUUGCUACUUUGCCUAUCUUUGUGACCGAUAAGGAUUAUGAAUUCUCUGUCGACCCUAAGUUAAUCACUCCGUUCGAAUCUGAUCCUUUUCACGGUUAUGAGUCUAAAACGGUUGUAGCCCAUCUUACCAAGCUGCACGAGAUAGCCACCCUAUUCACUAGCGAGGAAAAGGUCCGCCGCUACUAUAUCCUCAAGCUAUUUCCUUUCUCACUAAAGGAUGAUGCUAAGACCUGGUUCACUUCUCUUGCUCCUGGUUGUGUGCGUAGCCCCCAGGAUAUGGUCAACUACUUCUCUGAAAAAUAUUUCCCUGCCCAUAAGAAGCAAGAUGCCUUGCAAGAAAUAUACAACUUUGCACAAGUUGAAGAAGAGAGUCUCCCACAAGCUUGGGGGAGGCUCGUCCAGCUGCUGAAUGCUUUGCCUGAUCACGCUCUUGAGAAGAAUGAAAUACUUGAUAUCUUCUAUAAUGGACUUAUCGACGCUUCUAAAGACCACCUAGAUAGUUGUGCCGGUUGUGUUUUUUGGAAACGAACCGUAGAACAAGCUGAGAUCCUAUUGAAUAAUAUCUUGUGCAAUGAGAAUGCUUGGACUAUUCCCGAACCACCUCCGAAGCCAACUCCUAAGAAAAGAGGUAUUCUAUUACUCAGUCCUAAAGAUAUGCAAGAAGCUAAGAUAUCUAUGCAAGAGAAAGGCAUUAAAUCUGAAGAUGUCAAAAAUGUACCACCUAUUGAAGAGAUCCAUGGUCUUGAUAACCCGAUACAGGUAGUAGAAGUCAAUUCUCUGCAUAGGUUUGAUGAGAGUGAUAUUCCUNNNNNNNNNNNNNNNNNNNNNNNNNNNNNNNNNNNNNNNNNNNNNNNNNNNNNNNNNNNNNNNNNNNNNNNNNNNNNNNNNNNNNNNNNNNNNNNNNNNNNNNNNNNNNNNNNNNNNNNNNNNNUGAGAGUGAUAUUCCUUAUGCAUAGUCAUUUAAGUGCUUGUGUAGCCAGAAAUGUCAAUGAUCUUAAACUUCUGAGUAAACAUGCCUCUAUGGUUACUACUCAUGUAGAACAAGUACUUCAAGCUCAGAAUGACUUGCUCAAUGAGUUGAAUGAUAGUUCUGUCAGAGUCGUCACUAGAGGCGGUAGAAUGACCCAGGAACCUUUGUAUCCUGAGGGUCAUCCGAAGAGAAUUGAACAAGAUUCUCAAGGAGUUAGCACUGAUGCACCUAGUCAUCCUGGAAAGAAGAAUAAAGACGAUAGGAACCUGCACGCUAGUAACCCUGUUCCUGCUACACCUGAGAGACCAAACGAUGUCUCUGUCUCUGAUGCUGAAACACAAUCUGGUGAUGAACAUGAGCCUAAUGAUAAUAUCAAUAGUGAUGUUGAUGAUGAUGCUCAACCUAGCAAUGAUAAGGAUGUGGAGAUUGAACCUGUUGAUCUUCAUAACCAUAGCCUAAGGCUAGGAGAUGCGAUAAGAAUGACUUCACUGCUAGGAAGCAUGGUAAAUAAAGGGAACCAUGGGUUCAGAAACCCAUGCCCUUUCCUCCCAAACCAUCCAAGAAAAAGGAUGAUGAGGAUUUUGAGCGCUUUGUUGAAAUGAUCAGACCUGUCUUUCUACAAAAGUGUUUGACAGAUAUGCUCAAAAUGUCUCCGUAUGCUAAGUACGUGAAGGAUAUUGUGACUAAUAAGAGGAGGAUACCUGAGGUUGAUAUUUCCACCAUGCUCGCUAACUAUACCUUCAAGGGUGGAACUCCUAAGAAACUAGGUGAUCCCGGUGAGCCCAGUAUACCUUGCUCCAUUAAAGGCAACUACGUUAGAACUGCGUUAUGCGAUCUUGGAGCCGGUGUGAGUGUUAUGCCUCUUUCUCUUUAUCAUAGACUUGAAUUGGUUAAGUUCACACCCACUGAAAUCUCUCUGAAAAUGGCCGACAAAUCAACUGCUUUCCCUAUCGGCAUUUGCGAGGAUGUGCCUGUUGUGGUUGCCAACGUCACUAUCUUAACAGACUUUGUUGUUCUGGAUAUUCUCGAGGACGAUGCCAUGAUGGUCAUCCUCGGAAGACCCUUUUUAAACACUGCAGGGGCUGUUAUAGAUUGCAACAAAGGCAAUGUCACUUUUCAUGUCAACGGUAAUGAGCAUAUGGUGCACUUUCCGAAGAAACAAUAUCGAGUACACUUCAUCAAUGCUAUCGAAAAAACUUCAUCAAUUCUUAUUUGGAGCUUUGAAUUCCCUAUUCCUCAUGUUAAGAUGAAGUAUGAUUUGCUUGUUGGGGAGAUACACAUCCCUAUUCAGGUAACCUAGUGACUAUUCGAAAAUUCUCAGUCUUAUUUUGCGAUUCGAGAAACUUUGUCAAGGAGACUUGAUCAACCUCAUUGACGGAUUUCUUUCGAUGACCAUGAGAUGGAUGAAUCGAGGAGUCACAAACCUCUAUUCCAAGAUUUCACCUUCGGUUGCUCAGAAGAAAAAUGAUAGAUUUAGUUUAGUUUUCCCUGUUUUCUGCUUUUAGCGUCCCGUGGAAAAGUACCCUGAAAAUAAAAGUUCUCCGAACGUCCUGAAAAUCAAGUAAGAUUUUUUCUGGAAUUUUUGAAAAAUACUGGGACGAAGAGCUAGUCUGGGGGCUGCACGAGUGGGCCACAAGCCCUGGAGGCGCGGGCACCCCCUUGGCCGCACCUACCUGGCUUGUGGGGCCCACGUGCACCCCCUCCACUCAUUCUAGCUCCCAUCUGCUUAUCCUACCUCCAGAAAAAAUUGUUUCGCAGCUCAAACCCGUGUUCUUGCUCUUCUUACUGGGAUUUUCGAUCUCCUUCAUCAAAGCACCAUUCUUCGAACUGUUUUGGGGAAAUUACUCCUUGGUAAGUGACUCCUCCAUUGGUCCAAUUAGUUUUUGCUCUAGUGCGUUAUACUUCGCAUAUUUUUGCUGCCUUGGUGACCCUGUUCUUGAGCUUUGCAUGCUAAUUUGAGCUGGUCCCAAGUAGUUUUGAUGCGUAAUAUGGCCUCUAGGCACUUGAGGGAGUAGUUGCUACGAGUAUGGUUGAGCCUUGUUCACUUUUCCUUUGGGUCACUCAAAAUUUCAGAAAAGAAAGAUGUUCAGGAGAAACUAUCAUGGUGGUUCCUCAAGCAAGAGAAGGCCCCGUCUUGCGAUUCGGGAACCCGAUCCUUACCAACCGAGGAACGCACAGGUACAACCAUGUGAAUGGCCUUCUGAUGAAUUCAUGAUUGAGGCAGGUUUCGAAGACGAGUUUGAUACACUUGUUCACAACGUCGGACUCGAAGAAUUCAUCUCCGAUAAAUGUGAACAGUAUGUUUCUCUCACUACCUCUUUUGUUCGUAGAUUAAAGUUUUCAGUUGGCCAUGACACAUCCGUACUGUUUGAUCUCUAUAACAAAUCGUAUACCAUGGAUUUAGAGGAUUUCAAUAGAAUUUGGAAGAUACCUAUUUGGGGUAGUCUCAGUGAUCCUCCUAAAUCUUCGGUUAGAGAUUUUUUUCUCUGGUAUAACCGUCGGAGAAACUAGAGAUAUUACACAGGCUACCAUGGGGAGCGUUCAUUUUCCAGCCUUGCAUUACUUUUCCCUCUUCAUAGGCAGACGCAUUAAUGGCAAGAUUGAGCAUUCUCACCUCUAUGCAGCCGACCUUAGUAUUCUUAAGAGCACAGUAACGGGUGAUAAAAGUUUCAACUUGGGAGGUAUUAUAGCAAGGAGGCUGAAUAAUAAUGCUAAUGAAGGGGAUUUCUUUGGUGGGAUCUAUGCCACUCGCAUAGCAAAUUUUCUUGGAGUACCCAUCCACGAAGGAGAUCCCCCGCUUCAUACAGCUUUCCUUGAUCACACCUCUUUGACACGCUAUCAGUUCCUUGAGAGGGAUGAUGAAUCCCUCCUAUAUGUUUGAUAUUUAACCAACAGCGUGUUUUCCAUAUUACCCUUCCUGCUCCUGCCUUCUUUGACUUUCAGGUAAAACGGAGAUAUUACAUAACCAGAGGAGAGGCAGAGGAGUAUGAGAGGGAGGCAAAGGCUACUCGUCUCCGUGAGGCAUCUAUUCAGGAAGUGGCUGCAGCGCUUCCGUACAACCCUCACUAUGAUUUUUGGUAUCGCCCAGACAAUCCUUGGGAGUAGACCAACUUAGGCCAAAAGCCUAAGCUUGGGGGAGUACGUGUUUCUCACCGACUUUUCAUUCUUGCUUAUGCUUUCACUUUGUUCGUCGGUGUUCCCACUUUACCACUGUAUCAUCCAUGCUAGUUUAUUUUCUUUUUCUCGUUUUCUUUUCGUGGUUCUGUCUAGUUUGAGAAAACUCAAAAAGAUUUUCCUUUUCUUCUUUUGCUUGUUGGGAGCUUUCCCGUGUAAAUAGUUUUCUUUUUCCUUGGGUCAAGGUAGAAGGCCAUGGUUACAAUGUUUAGUGACUCUCGCAUGCAUACCUGUUUAUCUGUCAAAGAGCCAUAUUACUUUGUCUUCUCCUUUGUGUUUGCGUGCAUAUUCCGGCUAUAGUCCAAUGCACGAGCACUCUUAUUAUUGUUCACAUCAUUCGGUCGUGCAAGUGAAAGGCAAUAAUGAUGAUAUAUGAUGAAGUGACUCAGCCUGCAAAAGCUGGUAUGAACUCGACGUAUUUUGUUUUUGUAAAUAUGACUAGCUCACUGUUCCUAGUUCAACUUUGUUCUGAAAGAAACAUGUUUGCAAUGACAACUUAGAGAUCAUAGUUUCUGAUGCCAUGCUUAAUUAGCUAGGAGCUUAUAAUGGUUUGCCUUGGAUACCAACAUGAAUCUUGAGAUGACUAUGAUGUAGUAUGAUAGCAUGGUAUCGUCCUUUGAAUGAUUCAAGUGGCUUGACUUGGCGCAUGUUCACGCAUGUAGUUGAAACAAAAUCAACAUAGCAUCUAUGAUAUUCAUGUUCAUGGUGAUUUAUGUCCUACUCAUGCUUGCACUCAAUAUUAGUUAAUCUCAAUGCAUUUUCAUGACUGUUGUCGCUCUCUAGUUGGUCGUUUCCCAGUCUUUUGCUAGCCUUCACUUGUACUAAGGGGGAAUAUUGCUUGUGCAUCCACUUCCGUAAACCCAAAGAUGUUCCAUAUGAGUCCACCAUACCUACCUAUAUGUGGUAUCUACCUAUCGUUCCAAGUAAAUUUGCAUGUGCCACUCUCUAAACCUUCAAGAAAUAAUCUGUUUUGCAUGCCCGAACCGCUCAUGUGGUGACAGGGUGCUAUCAGUAUCUUCCAUGCUAGGCGUGUUAUCCUCGAUAUGUGUUUAUUCAUUAUCAUUCAGGAGAAAGGGGCCGGUAAUUGGAAUUCCCAUUUCCAUGCUCAAAUCGAAAAGAUAAUUGCAAACAAAACUCCUCCAGGAUUGAUGUUGGUAUGGACGGUACCCGAGGAUUUGACUAGCCGUGGAGUGUGAUUGAUUGGUGGUGGGGGACUCAAAACUUUACUUUUCUGUUUGGAACCGCCUAUAGCCCAUGUAGCAUGGAAGAUGGUGAGAAAUCUUAGUCACUGCGUUGACAAUGAAAGCAUUUCACCCAAAAAUAUUAUCUUUGUUUUAAAAAGCUUGAGCUCUGGCAGCUAUGCAAAUCAAUGCUUCCCUCUGCGAAGGGCAUGUCUAUGUUCCUGUUGAGACAUCCUCUUCUCAUAAAAGCACCAAUUAGAGAGCACCUCUAUGAUUUUUAUGCUUUUCUUUUAACUGUGUUGAGUAUGACUGUGACUGGAUCUUCUUUGCCAUGAGUUACAAUGUUUAGUCAGCCCUUGGUCUUUGAAGGUACCCUGCAUUUAUGUUUUGCGGUCUCAGAAAGAGCUAGCGAGAUACCAUCUGUUCGUACUGCUUCAUGAUUGUUUUGGUUGAAGUGUUGAUGUUUGAGACUUAUUAUUAUUUGCUCGCUAGUUGAUUAUGCCAUUGAUAUGAGUUUACCGUGAGACCUAGAUGUCAUUUGCUUAUGUGGUUUGCUUGUGAUUUUACUGAAACUCUGGAUAUGAGUUAGACAUAGUUGGAACAACAAGAUCAAACAGAGUUCGUCAAAGUUUUUGUUUUGUCUCUUUCAGUUUGUCAACUGAAUUGCUUGAGGAUAAGCAAGGCUUUAAGCUUGGGGGUGUUGAUACAUCUCGGUCGUAUCUACUUUUUCGAAGUCUUUUGCCCUUGUUCUGGACUAUAAUUUGCAUGAUUUAAAUGGAACUAACCUGUACUAAUGCUGUUUUUCACGAGAAUUGCCAUGGUGUUGUUUUUGCGCAGAAAUAAAAGUUAUCGGAAUGACCUGAAAAUUUAUGGAGAAUUUUUUUGGAAUUAAUGAAAAAUACUGGCGCAAGAAUCAGCGGAGGAAGUGGAACCAUGAGCCCACAAGCCCACCAGGCGCGGACCCCCCCUGGCCACGCCUGGCAGGCUUGUGGUGCCCAAGUUGCUCCACCGCCUCCAAUAUCAGCUCUAUUUAGUCGGUCUCGCCCGGAAAAAAAUCAAGGCGAAGAGUUCAUCGCGUUUUACAAUACGGAGGCGCCGCCACCUCAUGUUCUUCAUCUGCAGGGCAGAUCUGGAGUCCGUUCUGGGCUCCGGAGAGGAAAGAUCGUCGCCAUCGUCAUCAUCAACCUUCCUUCAUCGCCAAAUCCAUGAUGCUCUUCACCGUUCGUGAGUAAUCUCAUUGUAGCCUUGCCGGAUGGUGAUGGGUUGGAUGAGAUCUGUCAUGUAAUGAAGUCAGUUUUGACGGGGAUUAAUCCCUAGUAUCCACUAUGUUCUGAGAUUGAUGUUGCUACUACUUUGCCAUGCUUAAUGCUUGUCACUAGGGCCCAAGUGCUAUGAUUUCAGAUCUGAACCUAUUAUGUUGUCGCCAAUAUAUAUGUGUUUUAGAUCCUAUCUUGCAAGAUGUAGUCACCUACUAUGUGUUAUGACCCGGCAACCCCGGAGUGACAAUUGCCGGAACCACUCCCGGAGAUGACCAUAGUAUGAGGGAUGGACAAUAGAAGUCAUGCAAGUUCUUUUCCCUAAGCACGUAUGGCUACAUACGGAAUACAUGCCUACAUUAGAUUGACGAACUGGAGCUAGUUACAUAUCUCUCUGUGCUAUAACUGUUACAUGAUGAAUCACAUACGGCAUAAUCAUCCAUCACCGGUCCAAUGCCUACGAGUCUUUUCCUACUGGUCCUUGCUAUGUUACUCUGCCGCUAUUGUUGUUACUUUGCUGCUACUGGUUACUGUUGCUACUGCUGCUAUCACCCUACUUUGCUACAGAAACUUUGCUGCAGAUACUAAGUCUUUCAGGUGUGGUUGAAUUGAGAACUCAACUACUAAUACUCGAGAAUAUUCUUUGGCUUCCCCUUGUGUCGAAUCAACAAAUUUGGGUUGAAUUCUCUACCCUCGAAAACUGUUGCGAUCCCCUACACUUGUGGGUUUUAUAACUCGUAGGCAUUGGAUCGGUGAUGGAUAAUUAUGCCGGAUGACAUUCAUCAUGUACCAGUUAUAACAUGGGGUGACUUGUAAUAGCUCCAAUUCGUCAAUGUAAUGUAGGCAUGUAUUCCGUAUAUAGUCAUACGUGCUUAUGGAAAAGAACUUGCAUGACAUCUAUUGUCCAUCCCUCCCAUGGCAGCGGGGUCCUAAUGGAAACUUAGGGAUAUUAAGGUCUCCUUUUAAUAGAGAACCGGAACAAAGCAUUAACACUUAGUGAAUACAUGAACUCCUCAUACUAUGGUCAUCUCCGGGAGUGGUUCCGGCUAUUGUCACUCCGGGGUUGGGUCAUAACACAUAGUAGGUGACUACAACUUGCAAGAUAGGAUCAAGAACACACAUGUAUUGAUGAAAACAUAAUAGCUUCAGAUCUGAAAUCAUGGCACUCGGGCCCUAGUGACAAGCAUUAAGCAUAGCAAAGUAGUAGCAACAUCAAUCUCAGAACAUAGUGGAUACUAGGGAUCAAACCCCAUCAAAACUAACUCGAUUACAUGAUAGAUCUCAUCCAACCCAUCAGCGUCCAGCAAGCCUAUGAUGAGAUUACUCACGAACGGUUAAGAGCAUCAUGGAAUUGACGAUGAAGGAUGGUUGGUGAUGACGACGACAACGAUUUCCCCUCUCCGGAGCCCAGAUCGGACUCCAGAUCUCUUACCUCCGUGUCGUAAAACGCGAUGAACUCUUCUCUCCUAUUUUUUUCUUGGCGAGAGAGACUAAAUAGAGCUGGAGUUGGAGGUGGCAGAGCCCCGAGGGCCUCACAAGCCAGCCAGGCGCGGCUAGGGGGGCCCGCGCCUCCUGGGCUUGUGGACUCCUGGCUCCGUCCCUCCAGGUAAUUCUUGCGCCAAUAUUUUUUAUGUAUUCCACAAAAGUCCUCGUAAAUUGCCAGGUCAUUCCGAGAACUUUUAUUUCUGUGCAAAAACAACACCAUGGCAAUUCUACAGAAAACAACGUCAGUAUAGGUUAGUUCCAUUCAAAUCAUGCAAAUUAGAGUCCAAAACAAGGGCAAAAGAGUUGGAAAAGUAGGUACGAUGGAGACGUAUCAAGGACCAGCUACAGGAUUUGCGCAUGCUGCAUGUCGGAUAUAGGUGGAUCUCUAUUCUUCACAAUGGAGAGAGUGGAGCUUACUCUUUUUACGCUAUUUGACCUAGUAGAGAGUAGUAGGUUCUACGUAGGAGAGAAUAAUAUGCCAUAGCCAAGAGAGAUGACCUUUUUUAGUUUAUGAUUAUUAUGUUGUUUUUCUUUUUUAUGACGUUUUAACUUGGUAUGAUUAAGAUGAUAAUGAGCUGUUAGAUGAUUAAGAGGAUAUGAUGAGUUCUUAUAUGAUUAAGAGGAUGAUGAGUUGUUAGAUGAUUAAGAGGAUCAUAAGUUAUAUGACAUAAAUUAGAUUAAAGUGGAUGGUUGCAUGUGAUCAAGUUGGAUUAGAGAGAAAAUAUGAUGUUACAAAUUUGUAACUUGAUCACAUGCAACCAUCCACUUUAAUCUAAAUGUUUUUUUGCAAAAUUAUUAUUGUUGUUGUAUAUUAAUAUGUAUAAACAUGUGAAAAUACAAAACAAAUACAACAAAAUAAAUUAGCUAUAGCGUCAUAGCAGUAGCACGCCUGCUAGUGCUAGUGGUAGCUAAAUGUCCUGCGCUAGUGGUAGGGUUUUCCCUAGUAGUGAGUUGCAACAUGUUGUCAAACCAAAGUUGCCAUGUAUAGCAAUCCAUAGUUGUCACGUGUCAUUAAGCUAUAAUUGCUAUGUAUGGUCAACCCAUAGUUGCCACGUGUGAUUAGUUUGUUGCCACAUAUGCACAAAUGUAGUUGCCAUCUAUCACCGCGCAAGUGUCGUGUGAGCAAAGAGCAGUUCAUCCACACAAUGAUGCGAGAAGUCAUGCGGAGAUGAGCUGAAUGAUGUCUGUGUGGGCAAGGAGUGGUUCACUCACACGAUGUUGGAUGCUUACGUGGCUCCGUACUAGAUGGCAACAGUUGCAAGAUUCGUGCAAAUCAAAACAAAUGAUGACGACUAUGUUUGGGCGAAGUUGAUAAGUAUCACACGUGUGGGCGUUAUCAUUUAGGUAGAGUUACAAACAUACAUACACACACACACAUGCACACGGGGUUGGAGCUGUGGAUAUUGAAGAUUGAUGAAGUUAGCAUAGGUUUCUUAUUUUUGAUGAAAAUUUCACUAGCACUCAAGAAGAAUCUGUUAUAACUAAUGAAAAAUUUGUUGCAAGUACACAUACAUACAUACAUAACACAUAGAGUGAAACAUAGAGUUUUUCAAUAUAGUUAAUACACAAUUAGUUAGCAUACUGUUAAACACACACAUACACACAUAACACGGUUUUUCAAUAUGAAAAAUCCGUUGCAAGUACUUUUAAUACACAAUUAUGAAAAUCUUUUGUAGAAAACUUUCCUUAACUAAUGAUAGAAAGAUGGAACCUAACUUACCAUGCUGGGUAGAAGGAAAACACUCUAUUCAGAUCAACAUGUUUGACAUAAAACUCAGAACUGUGAUGGAUAUUCAAUACAAUUCCGAAGAUAAAGAGAAAUCUUAUCUCACUACUUGUCAAGCCAAGAGAAUUGAGAAAGAGUCCCUUGUUCAGCAAGAACACCACGCAACAUUUUAGAAAUAUACUCGCCAGCGGAGUUAGCACGAAAUACAUGAAUUUGCGAAGAGAACUGAGUGUGAACCAUGGAAGCAAAACGCUUAUAAAUAGAACACACCUCACUACGAGAAGUCAUAAAAUAAAGCCAUGUCUAAUGAGAGAAAUCAUCUAUAAAAAUAAUAUAGUAUCGAUGACCCCCUUUCGAAGUGAAGGGAUGCGGACCCCAUACAUCAGAAUGGACUAAAUCAAAAGGACGCUUAGACACUGACACACUAUGUGAAUAUGGUAAAUGAAUUUGUUUGCCAAGACGACAACCCUGACAUUCUAAAGGGACAUCUCCUGAGACAGACCCCAGAAGACCUCGACGAACUAAAGACGACAAACGAGAAACACAAAGAAGACGAAGUCGAUGAUGCCACUCCUAGAAGGAACUGGUAGCGGAGGCGACCAAAGCGGAGGAACUGGCGAUAGUGGUGGCAGCGGAAGGAACAUGAAGCCAGUCUAACUCCCAAAGACCAUGAGAAUCACGGCGGCGAGGGCAAGCCCCAACCAGAGUUUGCGUGCGACUGUCCUGGAUAGAAAAAAGAGUCAACAUCAAGGAUGACGCGAGAACCAGAAUGAGUAAGUUGACCAGUAGAAAAUAGGAUCAUGGUAAGUCGAGGAACAUGAGAAACAUCAGGGACAGAAUAAGAAGGAGUGGUAAGAUUGCCUCUACUAGGAACAGAAAGAGCAGUACCAUCAGCAGUGAGGACAUGAACAGGAAAAUCAAGCGACCGAAUAGAGGACAAAGUAGAAGAAUGAGAAGACAUAUGAAAAGAAGCUCCAGAGUCCAGAACCCAUGGGGAUGUACGUGACUGUGUAGAAGGUGGUUGCUCAGUGUGAGAAGCAUCAGUCAUAGAACUAGCUGUACCCGUCGAGGAAGAACGUGAAGCAGCGAGCAGACACGUAAGUCUUAGAAUAUCCUGCUCAGUCAAAGAGGUGGCUGAAGAUGUCCAGGUAGUAGACAAAGUCCCUGAAGAUGAUAGUCGCGCCUAACGCGGGUGUUUCUUCUUCCGGAAGCACUCAGACUCAACAUGACCAUCCAGGUUGCAGUAGCCGCAAUGUGGACGGGGGCGGCCAGAGCCGCCAGGAGGACUGGGCAAGAGGGGCGGAGCACUCGAGCAAGACGAAGUUGGUGCAGCAUGUGACGUAGCAGGGGCUCGAGAAGUGAGCACAAAGGGAAUCUCUAGUAAACCAGCACCACGCAAGCGAGUCUCCUCAGCACGAAUCUUAGAAAGUGCCUCCACGAGAGAAAUAUGGCCACGAGCAAACAACUGAGCACGCCGGGGCUCAAACUCCUUACGGAGCCGAGAGAAAAACUCAUAGACACGAUGAAACUUCAAAUUGGCCUGUAUAGCCUGGCAACAUGGGCAAGUACGGCAACCAGGACUACGAAGAGAAUCAAGCUGGCGCCAGAUAGCAGAACUCUGUUCAUAGAAAUCAUCAAAAGUGGAGUCACCCUAUUGAAGAGCAUUCUCCGGACGAACCACAGAGAGGUAUAAGGCAUCACCAGAGGUCUCAUAACGCUGACAAAGAUGGGUCCACAUCUCAAAGACAGUAGGAAGGCCCAGAAACUCAGAGGCAAACUGGGCAGAAUACUAGAAGUGAGAACAUCUACAAAACGAUCAUCAUCAUCAAGCCACUCGGUGUAAACAGACAGACCACCAUGAUACGCCUGAAGAGCCUCCUCAUAAGUCAAAACUUGCUCAUCAUAAGGACAAACAACAGCCUCAUCAGCAAGCUUAGCCACAUCCUUUGCAGCCUGAUUAGCAUGAGCAGGAAGAACUGGUGGAUCCGGUGGAGUAGGGGCCACAGGAGGAACCGGAUGUGGCGGACAACAGACCUCGCCAGAAAGAACACCCCAUAGAUAGAUGCCACACAUAUGAAUGUGCAUAAAUCCAAUGAACUCGGUGUAGUUGGUGCCAUAAAAAAUCACCGGAUAGAGAGGAACAUCGACGUAUCCAGAUAUUGCAGUCAAUUUUUUAGUCAACGAUCAGGUGAACACCCGAUCCGAUCGGGAGUUGGAAUCAGUGGGAAGGAUUGGGGAAUCAGUGCAGAAAAGAGCCGCUAAUAGCAGGGUCGCGUUAUAGAUCGGGCCCGAUCUGACGCGUACGGCGGCAGCGGGCGGCAGGUCCCUUGGUGGCGGUGUGGAGUCGUGUCCCUCGGACAGCACGACAUUGCGCGCCGGGGAUCCUGGCAGCGUCGACGGAGGGCUUCCGGAGCGCUGUGUGGCGCCGGAGGAGGAGUGGGACGCUGAUUCCGUCGAAGGGGAAUGAGGCGUCCCGGCGUGGAUGUCAUACCGGAGCCGAGCUAGGGUUCCGCCAGUCGAGGAUUGGGGAAUCGAUGGGCGGGAUUGGGGAAUCGAUGCGGGAAGCUGCGAUCCUGGCGCGAUCUGCAGUGCGGGAAGCGGCAAUCCUGGCACGAUCUGGAGAGGACGACGCACACACACUCUGGUUGGGACUGGCCCUCGCCGCCGUCAUUCUCUGGGUCUUUCGGAGUUAGACUGGCUUCAUGUUCCUUCCGCUGCCAUGCCAUCACCUCCGUUCAAGGGCACUAGGGCUAAGGUGCAACCCUCUUGGCCUUCUUCAGUUUUGCCACGCCCUUCUACGCCACUGCUUCGCAGCGCUGCGACCUUGACUGCAAUUGACUUCACACCUUCACCGGUGAGGCGCAGCGGUCGUCACUCUGUAGUUGUUGAUGGUACAACAUCUACUGGUGAAGACUCCCUCACCAAGGCCAUGCGCAGGAUGGCAUCCAGCAACCUCGACUUCGAAGGUACUCCCUCUCGUAUAUCUUUUUUGUCCUUUGAUAAUACCAGAGUUUCUUCAAAUAUUGUUGGCCUUGGAGUUUCAUUGGGACGUAAUGAGAAAGAGGUAGAAUUUUCUGUUAGAGCUAUUAAACAAAUGGAGUUCGACCGGUUUAUGUUUGCUCCUAGGUUGUAAACUUUUUGUGACCCUCUCGUGUCGGAUGAGGUGGAUGAGGAAGCUGGUGCCGAUCAUGAUGGCAAGCUUCUCUCCCAUCUGGUUAAAGACACGACUCAAGUAGACUUGUUCGAUACAGAAUGCGACACUAUGGUUUGCGAGCUUGUCGCAUCGGUACGAAAAAAACAAGUCUACUUCGGCUAACAAAAGAGGGCGGAAGUAUCUAAAUGUAAAAAUGGUUCAUCAUGAGAGGCAUGUUUUGGAAUAGUAGUGGUCUUGGUGACUUGGCUAAACACAAACAUAUUGCCGAUUGUGUAUGGGAUCAUGGAUUGGACUUUGUGGCCAUCGCUGAGUCAAGUAAACGUGAUUUCCAGACACGUCAUGUGGACCACUUUUCAUGUGGUUAUGAUUAUGUAUGGCAUGUCUUACCUCUGUCCGAAAGGUCAGGUGGGAUCUUGCUUGGCAACCACUCGACAUACCUGGAAUUGUUGUCCAUGUAAAAGGGUACAUACCACAUCAAAUUCCACCUUCGAAACAAGUCCAACAACUUCCUUUGGAGCCUGGCUGUUAAUACCUGCCGGGACAAUCCUCACCCCAUGUUAAUUGGGAGGAUUUCAAUAUCCUUCGAUAUGAGCAGGAAAUAAACAAUGAUCGGUUUGACACUGGAUGGCCUUUCCUCUUCAAUGUUGUUAUUGAUAGCUUGGACCUACGGGAGCUCACUAUGUCUGGUCGUUAGUACACCUGGGCCAAUAACCCACCUACUCCUACCUACGAAAAACUUGACUGGGUGCUAGUAACCAUCGACUGGGAAUAUAAAUAUCCCCUUGCCUCGGUUCGGGCACUAGAAAGGAUUGAAGCCUUAUCGGAUCAUGCUCCAUUGAUAACCGAUUUCGGUGAAACACCUCCAAGCUCUAAGAGUCCGCAGUUUAAGAGCACUAUACAUGUGGUGCGCCAUUACGAAAUAGUAAUGGCACACCAUGUGUAGGUGCGCCAUAGUAACCAAAACAGUAAUGGCGCACCAAGUGAAAAGUCCGCCAUUACNNNNNNNNNNNNNNNNNNNNNNNNNNNNNNNNNNNNNNNNNNNNNNNNNNNNNNNNNNNNNNNNNNNNNNNNNNNNNNNNNNNNNNNNNNNNNNNNNNNNNNNNNNNNNNNNNNNNNNNNNNNNNNNNNNNNNNNNNNNNNNNNNCGCCAUUACCUUUGACCAAGGUUUGACCAAGUCAUACACAUAGUAAUGGCGCACUUUGUAUAGGUGCUCCAUUACUAAAUGCACCCCCCGUGUGGACCGCCUUUUCAGUUUUUUAAAAAAUAAAAGAAAAUGAUGGACAUGUCAAAAAAAUAAAAGAAAAUAAGUUUCCCAUGUGAUAUGUGGUCUAGUUGUUGGGAAAAUUUACAAAUAUGAAUUUGGACUUUAUUUGCAAAAUCUCUCUAGAAUUUAGUAAAAUGGGCAUAACUUUUGCAUACGAACUCGGAUUAAAAAGUUUUUUGUAUGAAAAAUCAUGUACUCGAAAAGUUGCAAAAUCUCACUCGAACCGUGUUAAAGAUUUUUAGAAUCCCCAACAACCUAAAAGAAUAAAAUAUACGGUGCUUUUAAGAUCUAGACGGGGAAAAAUGGAAAAAAAUCAAACUUAGUAAUGGUGCACCAUUUGCUACGUGCGCCACUUGUAACAGAAAAAAAUUGGUUUUGAAUUUUGUUUUUUGAAAAAAUGUUCAAACUAUGAUACGUAAUAUGACCGGGAAGUUUGAAGUAGUUUUUCAAAGUUUCAUCACACUCAUAACAUGAACAAAAUCAUAGACAUCAACAAGGUUUAAUAGGAUUGAUAUGAUAGAUAUAUUAACAAGUGUUUGUUAAGUGAGCUGGUGCUGGGUUGGAUAGAAAUGAGAAGUGAAGUGUGGUGGGGCUGGAGUAGUGUGAGGGUGGGUGACCUUACUGGAAGUUUGACCACGGAGUGCGAUUUGACCUGAGAUUAAGCCAUAGUGACCCAGAAUAAGAAAAAAAGGAAAACACAAAUUUCUAAAAAAAUUGAUUUUUUUUUUCUGAAAAUAAAAUUUCAAAAAUUUUUGUUAGUAAUGGCGCACUUCUACGUGCUGCACCAUUACUAAGUCAUAUAGUAAUGGCACACUGUUGGACAUAGUAAUGGCGUGCAAUGGUGCGCCAUUACUAUUUGUGAUAGUAAUACUGCACCAAAUGUGUGUCAUUACUAUUUAUUAGUAAUGCUGUGAUAAUAGUGGCGCACCUAUAGUGCGCCAUUAAUAGCCAAACUAGGUGCGCUACUAACAACCUUUCUUCUAGUAGUAUAUAUUACCUCGACCCCCUUUAACAGUACGGUGUUCCUGUGGCUCAAGAGUAAAGAAAAUGAAACAUAAAGAAUAAAUCUUCACGCUUCAAAGUCUUCGGAAUGAUUUUCUUCAGGAUUCCUCAUCUUCAAUAUCUUUAUGAGGAAUAUCAAUUUCAUCGCAGUUUCUUCGCUAUCAAAGUCUUCAGCAUGAGACCAAUUUCUUCAGCCGAAGACAUACAUUUUUAGGGGUUAAUAUUCAUCGUAUAACUCAAACUCCUCAACGACUUACAGAGCUUGUGUACACUUAUAAACACAUUAGUUACGUAACCUAUAAGUCUUCAAACCACCAAAAUCACUAAGGGCACUAGAUGCACUUACAAUCUCCCCUUUUUGGUGGUUGAUGACAAUAAGGUUAAGUUUUCAACGGGGAUAAAAAUAUGAAGUGUAAAUACUGAGUUUGAGGAAUCUGAAAUCAAGAUACUAAGAGACUCCCCCUGAAGAUGUGCAUAUUUUGAGGAAUUUGCUUUUCACAGCAGAUGCACAUUGGUGAUUUAUAUCAUGGAGAUCCCCCCCUGUAUCUUGUAAAUCAUGCAUAUAUUUGACAUAUCAAAUGAGGAAUUUGAGAAUGCAUGAUGAGAAAUGGUAUCUGACGAAUUUCAGCAUGCCUGCAUUAAUAUAAUUUGAGGAAUAAGCAUGCGAAGAAAUGCUUUCAAGAGAGUCAGAGUAUCAUCGGGCUUAAGUUACAAAUCAUUACAUAAAACACUUCAGAAGAACCAAGAGUUUGUAACUUAAUAAAGUUCAUAAGCCCCAAAAUAGAUCCCGUUUCAAGACUAACUCAGAUUUCUCCCCCUUUGCCAUCAAGUGAUGAAAAUGGGACAAACUGAGGACUAACGCCCCAUGAAUACUUUCACUUCUUGGGUGAUGAAGAGGCGUGAGGAUUCUUGGUGACAGGGGAACCCUUGGAUAGUUGCAGUAUCUUCUGGUUCUUCAUCUGACUCUAAAGUGCGGAAUGAAGAAAAAGAACUGUCCACAAGGCCAGGAACUGAAAUUGGCUUGAAUUUCUUCUUGGGAGGCCACGACCAGUCAAAGUCCUGGGUAAACUCCAAUUCCUCAAGUUCCUCUUGAGUCUUCAGAUGAGCCAUGGUAGCCCAGGUGCGAUCAAACACCUCAUGCAGAUAAUAAUGAUUUUUCCUCACUGCAUUCUGAGUCCCGUUGAGGGUUUUCACAAUGGCACUGAGUUGACGUUUGACCCAUUUGUGACUGCGAUUGACCAUUUGAUGAAGACUAAGGAGUAGAUAUCUGUUAUUCAUCACUCUUGGGGAAGCACGGCUUGGUGGAUCUUGGGUAGGAGGGUCAUCAUAUGAAGAAUAUGACUCUGCUUCGCGAAACUGGCCAUCAAGGGGCCGAUUUCCUUCAUCAAAAACAGAUUUUUCUUUGCCUUCAACAGGCUCAAAUGUCUUAUGACCCUGAUGGGCGGCAGAUAUCCGAUGUGAUUAGAAAAUGAGCAUGGUAGUUGAUGUCUGACCUGCUUCUAAUGAAUCUCAUGAUCCACGGAGCAUAAAUCUUCACCUCAAAAGUUAACAGUGGAUUAUCAGCCAAAGUCCUCUGGAAGAAGUCAUGAAGGUUUAUUGCUAUGCCAUGGAUGAUAUUGAAAAGGAUAUUCUUCAUGAUGCCUACGACAUAUUCUUCAUCAUCAUGGCCUUUGAUAGGAGCGAUGACAUUGGCCAGAAUUCUGUAGACUGUUCGUGGUUCAUACUUCAAGUCUUGAACCAUAAAGCGACUCCUUGGAGGUUGGUCCUUGGCCAAAGGCUUCACGAGGACUUCCAUUAGUCUGUUGGGCAGCUCACGUUCCUGAUACAUCACCACUGCAUUCUCUAAGGGAAUUGAGACUGGAAGAGCUCAAAGCAAUUCAGUGGCAGGCGCUUUGUAGUGCGUGUGCUGAGUCAUCCAAUCCAAAACCCAAGUGUUGACAUCCUUCGGGUCUCCAGAGAUGUGCAGUGUGGCAUAGAAUUGAAGAAUGAUGUUGCAGUUCCAGGUGCCAAUGUUAGUGCAGAGAGGCAGCAAUCCAGCUUCGUGAAGAACAUUGAGGACUGGAGUGAAGCAAGGAAUUUCUUCCAUGUCACAGUGAGGAAUAUGCUUGUGCUGAAAUAUCUUGUUCCUCCCACAGCGCACUGAAGCAUAGUAGUUGAGAUGGUUCCUCGUCCAAAACUUCCGGUGCCUGAUGCGAAGCUUAUCAUAAGGAUUUGCGCCAGUGAAGUACAUCUUUUCUUCAUAAAAUGCCUCCUUUUGAAUCUUUGGCCUUUUGGAGAAAGGAUGAUUCUUCUGCGGUUGAAGAUUAUGUUGUUGUUCUUUAGGAGGAGCUACUAUCAUUGUGGUUUCUGUGUUUACCACAACAAUAGCAGUUUCAGUAUUUGGGGCAGGAGCAUUUUCUUCAUUCUAAGCAUUUUCAUCAGGUUGAUGAUUUUCCAUAGCUUGAGGAAUUUGCUUGUUGGAGGAGGCAGUUGUAGCAUUAGUCGCUGCAUUAUCUUCAGCUGAUGUAGCUGAUUCUUGAGCAGAUUCCUUACGAAAGGUUUUCCCAUCACAUCGUGUGAGGAUUUCUGUUGCAGCACGAGUAGGAGGGAUUUGAGUUGACCUUGGUGAGCGAUGAGCUUCUUCCCAGAAGUCAUCAUGGAUAACUGGAGUGGUGCUCCCAGUUUCAUCAUCACCCACAAUUUCUGUUGGAAAUAUGGCCUAGAGGCGUUGAUAAAUAGUAUUUAUUAUAUUUCCUGAUUAAACAUAAUCGUUUAUUAUCCAUGCUAUAAUUGAAUUGAAUGAAAACAUAGAUACAUGUGUGGAUACAUAGACAAAACAAUGUCCCUAGAAAGCCUCUAGUUGGCUACCUAGUUGAUCAAUGAUAGCCAAGGUAUUCUGACUAUAUGCAAGUGUUGUCACUUGAUAAAUGGAUCACAUUGUUAGGAGAAUCAUGUGAUGGACAAGACCCAAACUCUGAACGUAGCAUAUUGAUCGUGUCGUUUUCUUGCUAUUGUUUUCUUCAUGUCAAGUAUUUGUUCCUAUGACCAUGAGAUCAUAUAACUCACUGGCACCGGAGGAAUACCUUGUGUCCAUCAAGCAUCGCACCGUAACUAGGGUGACUAUAAAGGUUCUCUACAGGUAUCUCCGAAGGUGUCCGUUGAGUUAGUAUGGAUCAAGACUGGGAUUUGUCACUCCGUGUGACGGAGAGGUAUCUCAGGGCCCACUUGGUAAUACAACAUCACACACAAGCCUUGCAAGAAAUGUGACUAAGUGUAAGUCACGUGAUCUUGUAUUACGGAACGAGUAAAGAGACUUGUCAAUAACGAGAUUGAAAUAGGUAUGCGGAUACCGACGAUCGAAUCUCGGGCAAGUAACAUACCGAAAGACAAAGGGAAUGACAUACGGGAUUAUAUGAGUCCUUGACACUGAGGUUCAAUCGAUAAGAUCUUCAGAGAAUAUGUAGGAUCCAAUAUGGGUAUCCAGGUCCCACUGUUGGAUAUUGAUCGAGGAGUGCCUCGGGGCAUGUCUACAUAGUUCUCGAACCCGCAUGGUGUGCACACUUAAGGUUCGAUGAUGAUUUAGUAUAGUUGAGUUAUAUGUGUGGUUACCGAAUGUUAUUCGGAGUCUCGAAUGAGAUCACGAAUGUCACGAGGGUUUCUAGUGUGGUCCGGAAACAAAGAUUGAUAUAUAGGAUGGUUUCAUUUGGUUACCUGAAAAUUUCAGGCAAUUCCGGCAGUGUACCGGGAGUGACGAAUGGGUUCCAGGUGUUCACCGGGAGUGGCCCACCCACCUGGGAGUGAGCCGAAGGCCCUAGGGUGGCGCCACAAGUCCUUAGUGGUCUGGUGGAGUCACCCCAAGGAGUCCAUGGCACCACAUAUGAAAAUACCAAAAAUAAAAGAAAAAGAAAAAGAAAAGAGGGAGGUGGGAAGGAAGAGGACUCCUCCUUCCCAAACCGAAUUGGAGGAGGAGUCCUCCUCCUCCCUGGCGGCCGGCGCACCCUUGAGGCCUUGUGCCUCAAGGCUAGCCCCUCCCCCUCCCUCCUAUAUAUAGUGGUGGUUUAGGGCUUUUUGAGACACAACUUUGCCACGUGCAACUCUAGCCUAAACCACACAGUUUCACCUCUAGAUCGGAUUUCUACGGAGCUCGAGCGGAGCCCUGCACGAGUAGAUCAUCACCACCACCAGAGCGCUGUCACGCUGCCGGAGAACUCAUCUACUUCGCCGUCUUGCUUGCUGGAUCAAGAAGGUCGAGAUCAUCGUCGAGCUGUACGUGUGCUGAACGCGGGGGUGCCGUCCAUCCGGCGCUAGAUCAGAACGGAUCGUGGGACGAAUCGUGGUAUCAGAGCCAGGUUCGUGCGUAGAUGUUAUCUCGAGUAGAACACAAAAGGUUUUGUGGACGGUGAUGUUUGAUUUGAUGCCCUCCUUAGCCUUUUCUCGAUUCAGCGGUAUUGUUCGAUUGAAACGACCCGGACCGACAUAACUCGUACGCUCACGAGACACUGGUUUCACCGAUUGACAUGCAACCUCGUUGCGUAAAGAUGACUGGCGGGUGUCGGUUUCUCCAACUUUAGUUGAAUUGGUUUUGACUGAGGCAGUCCUUGGAGAGGUUAAAUAGCAAUUUUCACAUAUCCGUUGUGGUUUUUGCGUAAGUAUGAUCCGAUCGUACUAAGUACCCAUAGAAGUGAUGUAAAACAUGCAAUAAUAAAUUAGAGGAUGUCUAACUUGUUUUUGCAGGGUGUGCUUGUGAUAUGAUAUGGCCAAUAACGUGAUGUGAUAUAUUGGAUGUAUGAGAUGAUCAUGUUGUAGUACUUAAUAUUGACUUGCACGUCGAUGCUACGACAACCGGCAGGAGCCAUAGGGUUGUCUUUAAACUAACGUUUGUGUUUGCAGAUGCGUUUACUAUAUUGCUAGGUCGUAGCUUUAGUAGUAAUAGCGUAGAUAACAUGACAACCUUGAUGGCGACACGUUGACGAAGAUCAUGCUGUGGCGCCGGUGACAAGAAGAUCAUGUUAGUGCUUUGCUGAUCGAGAUCAAGGAGCACAAGAUGAUGGCCAUAUCAUGUCACUUAUGAAUUGCAUGUGAUGUUAAUUCUUUUAUGCACCUUAUUUUUCUUAGAACGACGGUAGCAUUAUAAGGUGAUCUCUCAGUAAAAUUUCAAGACGAAAUUGUUUGCUCCCCGACUGUGCACAGUUCGUCAUUUCAAGACACCACGUGAUGAUCGGGUGUGAUAGACUCAACGUUCACAUACAACGGGUGCAAAACAGUUGCACGCGCGGAACACUCGGGUUAAACUUGACGAGCCUAGCAUGUGCAGACAUGGCCUCAGAACACAUGAGACUGAAACGUCAAGCAUGAAUCGUAUAGUUGAUAUGAUUAGGAUAGAGAUGCUUACCACUGGAACUAUUCUCAACUCACGUGAUGAUCGGACUUGAGUUAGUGAAUUUGGAUCAUGUACCACUCAAAUGACUAGAGAUAUGUACUUUUUGUGUGGGACUUUAGCAAGUAAUUUGAUUAGUUAAACUCUAAUUAUCUUGAACAUAGUCUAAGUCCACUUUGAAAUAUUUGUGUUGUACAUCAAUGGCUCACGCGAUAGUCACCCUAAUUUUAAUGCGUUACUAGAGAAAGCUAAGUUGCAAGAUGAUGGAAGCAACUUUGUAGACUGGGAUCGUAAUCCUAAGUUGCUCCUCCAAGCUAGGAAGAAGGAUUAUGUCCUUAAUGCUGCGCUAGGAGAUGAACCACCCCCUACGUCUGACCAAGAUGUUAAGAAUGCUUGGUUAACACGUAAGGUGGACUACUCAGUAGUUCAAUGUGCACUCUUGUAUGCCUUAGAGCCGGGACUUCAACGUCGCUUUGAGCGUCAUGGAGCAUAUGAGAUGUUCCAGGAGUUGAAGUUUAUCUUUCAGAAGAACGCCCGUAUCGAGAAGUAUUAGACCUCCGAUAAAUUCUGUGCUUGCAAGAUGGAGGAGAAUUCGUCUGUCAGUGAACAUGUGCUCAAAAUGUCUGGGUACUCAAACCGUCUAGUUGAGUUGGGGAUUGAACUCCCACAAGAGGCUAUCACUGACAAAAUUCUUUAAUCACUUCCACCAAGCUACAAGAGCUUUGUGUUGAACUAUCACAUGCAAGGGAUGACCAAGUCACCCGACGAGUUAUUCGCGAUGCUGAAAGUCGCAGAGUCGGAACUCUGGAAAGAGCAUCAUGUGUUGAUGGUCAAUAAGACCACUUGUUUCAAGAGAAACAACAAAUACAAGAAGAGUAACUCCAAGAAGAGCGGCAAGCGUGUUGCCAAUCCGACGAAGAAACCCAAGGCUAGACCUAAGCCUAAAACAGAGUGUUAUUAUUGCAAGGGACUGAGUCACUGGAAGCGCAACUGCCCCCAAGUAUUUGGCUGAUAAGAAGGCGGCCAAGGAAAAAUCAGGUAUAUUCGAUAUACAUGUUAUUGAUGUGUACUUAACCAACUCUUGUAGUAAUGCCUGGGUAUUCGAUACCGGUUCUGUUGCUCAUAUUUUCAACUCAAAACAGGAAUUGCGGAAUAAACGAAGGCUGGCGAAAGAUGAAGUGACGAUGCGCGUGGGAAAUGGUUCCAAGGUUGAUGCAAUCGCCGUCGGCAGAGUUUCACUUCAGUUACCAUCAGGAUUAGUUAUGAACUUAAAUAACUGUUAUUUAGUGCGUGCGUUAAGAAUGAACAUUAUAUCUGGAUCUUGUUUAUUGCGAAACGGUUAGUCAUUUAAGUCAGAGAAUAAUGGUUAUUCUAUUUCUAUGAGUGAUAUCUUUUAUGGUCAUGCACCCAAUGUGAGAGGAAUGUUCAUAUUGAAUCUUGAUAGCGAUGAUACACAUAUACAUAAAACAUCGAGACCAAAAGACUUAGAGUUAACAAUGAUAGCGCCAUGUUUUUGUGGUACUGCCGCUUAGGUCAUAUUGGUGUAAAGCGCAUGAAGAAACUCCAUUCCGAUGGACUUUUCGGGUCACUUGACGUUGAUUCACUUGACACGUGCGAACCAUGCCUCAUGGGCAAGAUGACUAAGACUCUGUUCUCCGGAACAAUGGAGCGUGCAAGUGACUUGUUGGAAAUCAUACAUACCGAUGCGUGCGGUCCGAUUAGUGUGGAGGCGCGUGGCGGAUAUCGUUAGUUUCUCACCUUCACUGACAAUUUGAGUAGAUCUGGUUAUGUCUACUUGAUGAAGCACAAGUCUAAAACAUUUGAGAAGUUCCAGCAAUUUGAGAGUGAAGUUGAAAAUCAUCGUAACAAGAAGAUCAAGUUCCUAUAGUCUGAUCGUGGGGGUGAAUAUCUGAGUUUCGAGUUUGGUGCUCACUUAAGACAAUGUGGAAUUGUUUCACAUUUGACACUGCCCGGAACACCACAGCGUAAUGGUGUGUCCGAACGUCAUAAUCGUACUUUGUUAGAAAUGGUGCGAUCUAUGAUGUCUCUUACCGAUUUGUCGUUAUCGUUUUGGUUUUAUGCAUUAGAGACAACUACAUUCACUUUAAAUAGGGCACCAUCAAAAUCCCUUGAGACGACACCAUACGAACUGUGGUAUCGGAAAAGACCAAAGUUGUCAUUUCUUGAAGUUUGGGGAUGUGAUGUAAUGACCCACAAGUAUAGGGGAUCAAUCUAGUCCUUUCGAUAAGUAAGAGUGUCGAACCCAACGAGGAGUAGAAGGAUCUCACAAGUGGUUUUCAGCAAGGAAAAAUCUGCAGGCACUGAAAUUGUCGGUAACAAGUGAUUGUGUGGUGACAUGAUUCGUAGCAAGCAACAAGUAACAAAAGUAGCAACGGUGCAGCAAAGUGGCCCAAUCCCUUUUUUAGCAAGGGACAAGCCUGGACAAAGUCUUAUAGGAGGAAAAACGCUCCUGAGGACACACGGGAAUUUCUGUCAUGCUAGUUUCAUCAUGUUCAUAUGAUUCGCGUUCGUUACUUUGAUAGUUUUAUUUGUGGGUGGACCAGCACUUGGGUACUGCCCUUACUUGGACAAGCAUCCCACUUAUGAUUAACCCCUCUCGCAAGCAUCCACAACUACGAAAGAAGAAUUAAGACAAAGUCUAACCAUAGCAUUAAACUAGUGGAUCCAAAUCAGCCCCUUACGAAGCAACGGAUAAACUAGGGUUUAAGCUUCUAUCACUCUAGCAAUCCAUCAUCUACUUACUACUUCCCAAUGCCUUCCUCUAGGCCCAAAAUAAUGGUGAAGUGUUAUGUAGUCGACGUUCACAUAACACCACUAGAGGAAAAACAACAUACAACACAUCAAAAUACCGAACGAAUACCAAAUUCACAUGACUACUAUUAGCAUGACUUAUCCCAUGUCCUCUGGAACAAAAGUAACUACUCACAAAGCAUACUUAUAUUCAUGAUCAGAGAGGUAAUGAGUAGCAUCAAGGAUCUGAACAUAAACUCUUCCACAAAAUAAUCCAACUAGCAUCAACUACAAAGAGUAAUCAACAGUACUAGUAACCUUACAAGUACCAAUCGGAGUCGCGAGACGGAGAUUGGUUACAAGUGAUGAACUAGGGUUUGGAGAGGAGAUGGUGCUGAUCAAGAUGUUGAUGGUGAUGAGUCCCCUCCGAUGAGAGGAGUGUUGGUCAUGAUGAUGGCGAUGAUUUCCCCCUCCGGGAGGGAAGUUUCCCCGCCUGAUCGUCCUGCCAGAGCUCUAGAUUGGUUCUGCUCAAGUUCCGCCUCAUGGCAGCGGCGAAACCAUGAAAAAGCUCCUCCUUGAUUUUUUUCCUGGACGAAACCCUCCAUAUACCAAAAGAGGGGGGCAAGUCGGCUAGCAGGUUGCCCACAAGCAUACAUGACGCGGCCUGGGGGUGGCCGCACCGUGCAGGCUUGUGGGCACCCCCUGGCACCCCUCUGGCACUUCUUCGGCCCAAUAUUUUUGAUAAAUUGGGGCAAACAUCCCCGUUGAUUUUCACGGCGUUUGGAGUUGCGCAGAAUAGGUAUCUCAACUUUGCUCCACUUUUAGGCCAGAAUUCCAGUUGCCGGUAUUCUCCCUCUUCAUGUAAACCUUGCAAAAUAAGAGAGAAAAGGCAUAAGAAUAGUACCGUGAAGUGAAAUAACAGCCAAAGAAGCGAUAAAUAUCAACAUGAAAACAUGACGCAAAAUGGACAUAUCAACUCCCCCAAGCUUAGACCUCGCUUGUCCUCAAGCAAAAGCCUAGCUCACUAAAUAUGUCCACAUGUUUAGGGAGAGAGGUGUCGACAAAACAAGAUACGAACAUGCAUGCAUCAUGAUCAAGAUCAACAGCAAUACCAACAUAUAAUCUCUCAUGCUAAAGUGAUAAUUUCUUCACAAAGUAAAGCAUGGAUCAAGAACCUUACCGAGAAGUAACAACCGAUAGACUCAUUGAAGCAAUUGCAAUUUAUCACAACAUCAAAAAGAGUCAAAUAAGAGCUUGUAAAGCAAAUCCACAUACUCAAUCAUUCUUUCAUUCUCUACAAUUGCUACAACUCACGUGGUACUCAUGAGAUCAAAGUUUCAGCUGGACACAGAGAAAGAUAGGGGCUUAUAGUUUUGCCUCCCAACUACUUACCUCAAGGGUAAUGUCAACAAUAAUAAUUCAUGAAUGCCUACCUCCAAGUGGACAUAUGAAUAUAGAUCUUUCCCAAGCAUAUGACAUUAGCCAAGAUAAAGGCGAAACAAGGAAUUGGUGAAGAUCACCAUGACUCUUUCAAGGGCAAAAAGAAAAGGUACAAGAUAGGCCUUUCGCAGAGGGAAGCAGAGGUUGUCAUGCGCUUUUGAGGUUUGGAUGCGUGUCCUCUUAGUGCGGAUAAAUGUAACUUUAUGUUGCCUCCUGUGAUAAAGAACUUUAUUAUGCAGUCUGUCGCUUUUAUGUCUUCCUCAUCACAGGUUCAUAUAAAGCUUAUUUUCCACACACUAGUAGAUCAUACAUAUUAGAGAGCAAUUUUUAUUGCUUGCACCGAUGACAACUUACUUGAGGGAUCUUAUUCAAUCCAUAGGUAGGUAUGGUGGACUCUCAUGGCAAAACUGGUUUGAAGGUUAUGGAUGCACAAGUAGUAUCUCUACUUGGUGCGGGAGUUUUGGCAAAUAUGAGGUGGAAGCAAUCGUCACAUGCGAAGGGAUCUCUAAGCAUAUAACAUUGUUCAGAGCCAAGCAAACACAAUUCAUUACGUUGUCUUCCUUGUCCAACAUCUACUUCUAGGCAUGCAAUAGUUUGGUGAGUAUUCACAAUCAUAGAUGGUGUUAGAGAUGAUAUAUUUAUAUGUGAACCUCUCCUUCUUUAUCACUUCCUAUUAAUUGCAACAAUGACUAAGGUCUACGUUUGCGUACCCUCAACAAGUUUCAAUCUUCAUUGUUUUUAUAUGUGAAGCCAUCACUUCCCGUAAGAUCAUUACAUGAUCUUUCAUGCUUUUGUUCUAUUCUUACUCUUUUGAUCAUGGCAAGAGGCAAAGCCCUUAAACUAAUACACUCUUUAUUAUAUGGCUCACGAGCAAGAAUACAUUGGGGGUGACACAAAGCAAAACUCAAGACUAAAACACUAAGACUUUUAAACUACUAGAGAAAAAGAAAACUAAAAAGGAAAACUAAAACAAAGGUAAAGGCAAAAGAUGUGAUGAUGAUACGAUACCGGGGAAACUCCCCAAGCUUGGCACAAGCCAAGGGGAUUGCCCAUACCAAUGCUCAGUUGUCUUCCUUUGGUAGUGAUGGUGGAGGAGUUGUUGAAGAGGUCUUGAGCUUGUUUAAUUUCCACUUGAGCAUAAAAUUCUGCUCCCUCAGAUCGUCAUUUUCCUCUUCAAGCUUCAACACCCUUUGGCAUAAUUCCUAAUUACUCUGCUGCAAGAAACGAGAAGGGAUAAACAAGGUCUUAGACUUCUUCCUUGAGCGAGGGAGGCUCGACUUCUUGAACUCCACAUGCUUGUGCCCAUGUUGAGGUAGAGGAGCCUCCUCUUCAUCGGAACUUGUUUGUUCCUUCCCCUUGGGAUCAUAGUCUUCUUCUUCAUCAGUGGUCCAGCUAUAUGGAUCAAAGUCCCCACAAACCUUGGGGUUAGCAAGGUAAUCAGCCACAUAGCUCUCCCCCUCUGAAUCAUGAGAAGACAUCUUGACCUAGAUCUACAACAGAAAACAGGCUCGAAAUGAAAAACAGAGGAAAUCUGCGUGAUGCAGGGGUCAGACCAAACGGAAGUAUAUAUAAUGAUUUUUUCCAGACCAGAAGGAGCACCCUGCAUGAAAACGGAGUCCGGGAGGCGCACGAGGUGGCCUCAAGCCCUCACGGCGUGGCCAGGGGGUGGGCCCGUGCCGUGCAGGCUUGUCGCCUCCUCACGCACUUUCCGGACUACUUCCAAUUUUUUUAUUUUCUCAAAUAUUCCAAAACGGAGAAAAUUUCCUACUGGAAAAGUUUUGGACUCUGUUUUCUUACCGAAUCACAUACCUCUUCGUUUUCGGAGUCUGAAACAGGCUGAUAAAUGUCCCUUAGGUAUUCUUCUGGAGUUAUGGUAUUGAUAAAAUUUCUCUCAACAUUUAUGGGAGUACCUGAGAUAUAAUGCUUGAUUCUCUGCCCAUUUACCACUCUCGGACAAUUACCUUCCGUGUUGUUGAUCUUGAUAGCACAGGAACGAUGUACUUCCUCAACAACAUAGGGACCUUCCCAUUUAGAGAGAAGCUUGCGUGCAAAGAAUCUUAAACGAGAGUUAUAUAGCAAGACAUAAUCACCUACAUUGAACUCACGCUUUUGUAUCAUCUUAUCAUGCGACCUCUUAACCUUCUAUUUGAACAGCUUGGCAUUCUCAUAUGCCUGAGUUCUCCACUCAUCAAGCAAGCUAAUGUCAAAUAACCUCUUCUCACCGGCAAGUUUGAAAUCAAAGUUGAGCUCUUUGAUUGCCCAAUAAGCUUUAUGUUAUAGCUCAAGAGGUAAGUGCCAUGCUUUCCCAUACACCAUUUUUUACGGAGACAUGCCCAUGGGAUUCUUAUAGGCAGUUCUAUGAGCCCACAGUGCAUCAUCGAGCUUCUUAGACCAAUUCUUUCUAGACCUGUUGACAGUCUUUUGCAGAAUCGGUUUAACACCUCUGUUGCUUAGCUCUACUUGACCACUGGACUGAGGGUGAUAGGGAGACGCAAUUCUAUGGUUGACAUCGCACUUAGCAAGCGUUUUACGGAAAGCACCAUGAAUGAAAUGUGAACCACCGUCGGUCAUUAGAUAUCUAGGGACUCCAAAUCUAGGGAAGAUAACUUCUUUCAGCAUCUUGAUAGAGGUGUUGUGAUCAACACUACUAGUGGGGAUAGCUUCUACCCAAUUAGUGACAUAAUCAACAGCAACUAAGAUGUGCGUAUGCCCGUUGUAUUUUGGAAAAGGUCCCAUAUAAUCAAAGCCCCAGACAUCAAAUGGUCCAAUGACAAGUGAAUAGUUCAUAGGCAUUUCCUGAUGUUUGCUAAUGUUACCUAUUCUUCGACAUUCGUCACACGACAAGACAAACUUACGGGCAUCCUUGAAGAGAGUGGGCCAAUAGAAACUUGAUUGCAAUACCUUGGGUGCAGUUAUAUCUCCCGCAUGGUGUCCUCCGUAGGCCUCGGAGUGACACUUCUGUAGGAUCUGUCCCUGUUCAUGUUCAGGUACACAACGUCUAAUAACACCAUCUACUCCUUCCUUAUAAAGGUGAGGAUCAUCGCAAAAGUAAUGUCUCAAGUCAAAGAAGAAUUUCUUAUUUUGCUGGUAUGUGAAACUAGGUGGUAUGUAUUUGUCAACGAUAUAGUUUGCAUAAUCAGCAUACCACGGUGCACUACGUGAAGCAUUGAUGACAUUCAAUUGCUCAUCAAGAAAGCUAUCAUCAAUAGGUUGUGGGUCAUCAAGAACGUUCUCCAACCUAGACAAGUUAUCUGCUACUGGGUUAUCAGCACCCUUUCUGUCGACAACGUGCAAAUCAAAUUCUUGUAGCAAUAGAACCCAUAUGAUAAGUCUAGUUCUAGCGCCCUUCUUCUCCACGAGGUACUUAAUGGCAGCAUGAUCAGUGUGAAUACUGACUUUGGAAUCAACUAUGUAAGACCUGAACUUUUCACAUGCAAAUACGACUGCUAACAAUUCCUUUUCCGUAGUGGCAUAGUUUCUCUGGGCACUGUCUAAAGUUUUACUAGCAUAGUGAAUAACAUUCAACAUCUUGUCAACUCUUUUCCCUAGAACAUCACCAACAACAUAAUCACUAGCAUCACACAUGAUCUCAAAAGGCAAGUUCCAAUCAGGUGGUUGAACAAUAGGCGCAGUUAUCAAAGCCCUCUUAAGUAUUUCGAAGGCUUCCUCACAAUCAUCGUCAAAAACAAAAGGAAUAUCCUUUUGCAAGAGAUUGGAAAGAGGCCUAGAAAUCUUAGAGAAGUCUUUGAUGAACCUUCUAUAGAAACCAGCAUGACCAAGGAAACUUCUUAUACCUUUGAUAUCUGUGCGGUAUAGCAUUUUCUCAAUUGCAUCAACCUUAGCCUUAUCGACUUCAAUACCUCUUUCAGAAAUUUUAUGUCCCAAGACAAUGCCUUCAUUAACCAUAAAGUGGAACUUCUUCCAAUUCAAGACAAGAUUGGUGUCUUUACAUCUCUGUAAGACUCGAUCAAGGUUGCUGAGGCAGUCAUCAAAGGAAGACCCGUAAACGGAAAAGUCAUCCAUGAAAACCUCAACAAUCUUUUCACAAAAGUUAGAGAAUAUAGCCAUCAUACAUCUUUGAAAGGUGGCAGGUGCAUUACAUAAGCCAAAAGGCAUACGUCUAUAAGCAAAGGUACCGAUUGUGCAACUAGUAUUUGGGAGAAAGCAAAAUAUUCGUCUAGAAAGCAUAAGUUUGUGUGUUUGGACAACCUUUCUAGCAUUUGGUCGAUAAAAGGCAAAGGGUAAUGAUCUUUCCUACUCGCUUUAUUCAAUUUCCUAAAAUCGAUCACCAUCCUAUAGCCAGUAAUAAUCCUCUGUGGGAUCAACUCAUCCUUAUCAUUAGGGACAACGGUAAUGCCUCCCUUCUUAGGGACGCAAUGCACCAGACUCACCCAAUCGUUGUGAGCAACAGGAUAAAUGAUACAUGCUUCCAGGAGCUUUAGUAUUUCUUUUCGCACUACUUCUUUCAUCUUAGGAUUGAAUCUCCUUUGAUGAUCAGCAACUGGUUUGAAAUCAGGAUCAGUUUUAAUCUUGUGCUGGCAUAGGGUAGGACUAAUGCCCUUAAGAUCAUCAAGAGUAUAUCCAAUAGCAGCACGGUGCUUCCUCAGAGUUUUUAGUAACUUCUUUUCUUUAUGCUCUGAGAGGCUAGCACUAAUAUCUCCUUUUCCUCAAGAUAGGCAUACUUAAGAGUAUCUGGCAACUGUUUAAGCUCGAAUACAGGAUCACCCUUAGUUGGGGGAGGAUCCCCAAGCAGUUCAACAGGCAAGUUAUUCUUAAGGAUAGGAUAUUGUUCUAAGACAACUCUAUCUACCUCAUCCCUUUCAUCCAUAUGCAUAUCGUUUUCAUGCUCAAGCAAGUAUUGCUCUAAGGGAUCAGUAGGGGGCACGGCAAUAGAGGCUAAGGCAAUAGUUUCAUCCCUACUAGGCAACUCCUUUUCAUGAGGUUGCUUCUCACAAUCAAUAUGAGUAUUGAUGGUAUUGAGAAAGGGUCUGCCAAAUAUGAUGGUACAAAAGCUAUCUAGUGCAGUAGCAAGAUCGAGGAAAUCAGCGGGAUACUUCGUUUUACCACUCAUGACUUCAACAUCCCUAACAAUUCCCACAGGGCAGAUAGUAUCUCUAUUGGCAAGCUGAAUAGUGACAUCUAUAGGUUCUAUCUCAACAGGUGCAAUCUCAUCUUUGAUUUCAUCAUAUAAGUAUUCAGGUAUUGCACUAACACUAGCACCCACGUCACAUAAGCCAUGAUAACAAUGAUCUCCUAUCUUAACAGAAACCACAGGCAUGCCAACAACAGGCCCAUGUUUGUCUCUAACGUGAGGUUUAGCAAUUCUAGCAGCAUCUCCACAGAAGUGAAUGUUAUGUCCCUAAACUUCUUGAGACAGAAGAUCUUUGAUAAUAGAAAUGCUAGGUUCAACUCUAAUUUGCUCAGGGGGUGUAGGUGUUCUAAUAUAGCCUCUACGUAUCAUAGUUGAAGCUUUAGAAUGAUCCUUUAUCCUAACAGGGAAAGGUGGUUAUUCAAUGUAAGCACUGGGAACAACAGGAUCACUAUAGGCAAUGACUUUCUCUUCAACUCGAGUGGGUUUAACUACAUUGACUUCUAAAGGAGGAUGAUAUUUAAACCACUUCUCUUUGGGGAGAUCAAUAUGAGCAGCAAAGCAUUCACACAAUGAAGCUACUAUCUCAGAGUCGAGUCCAUACUUAGCGCUAAAAUCACUAAAGGUAUUUGUCUCAACAAAGGAUUUAACACAAUCAAACGUGAAAUUCAUACCUGACUCCUUACCUUCUUCGAGCUCCCAUUCUUCAGAGUUACAUUUAAUUCUCUCCAAUAAAUUCCAUUUGAAGUCAAUAUCUCUCUUCAUAAAAGAACCGGUACAAGAAGUGUCAAGCAUGGUGUGAUCAUCAUGAGAAAGUCGAGCAUAGAAGUUCUGAAUGAUAAUUUCUCUCGAGAGCUCAUGAUUGGGGCAUAAAUAGAGCAUCGAUUUAAGGCUCCCCCAAGCUUGAGCGAUGUUUUAUCCGUCAUGAGGCCAAAAAUUG